rnacentral:lncRNA from 1 species
CACAAAACCAAAACAACAAAUGAAAACAACAAGCCCUACUCGAUCAUACAGAUAAUCCUCGCACGAGCAUCGCCCGUUUUAUUACAUAGCUUAUAAGGUACGUAGCACGAAGGGCACUUCACUGCAUGCAAAAUCGCAGCUUCGAUAACCCUUACAUGGAGCUUACACGAUCAUCCGAACCCAUGUCGGAGGGUUCUGUAGUGCGCUGCGACGAAACCAGAGUCGGGUAAAUACCGUAGCUAGCCAGACCACAUAAUCCAGGAUAUGCCGUGUCUCUUAACAUCCUCACGUAUCCAUUUUCUCCCCACGUGUUGCCCCAUGAAUUUUUUAUUAUCCAAUACUUGUCUCCGGUGCUGCUGUCCUGCCCGUAACCUACGACGGUGACGGCGUGGAAAAUAUUCGUCCCACAAGGUCCUUUAAAGAUACCGCCAUUGUAGUGAUUGAAGUAAUAAGAGCUAGCAUCAAUAGCAAUAACUGUCGGCUGGUUCGCCACAGCAUACAUGAUCGCACGUUCAUUGUAGCUAGGUUGUACCUGUUGAUAGCCGGUAAUAUAAGCUGCGUUCGGUUUGCUAUUUGCAGCGCAAGUGCCUUUAUAUCCUACAUAGGGAUAGUUCGCCUGCGCGGUCACGCCCUUGUUAGCGAUGAUGAAUUCGUAGGCUUUGUGCACCCAACCAGAUGUGCACCCGUUGCUAACAGUACAAUCUAAAACUUCUUGCUCCGAUAGAGAUAUUAGUUGUCCUGUUUUGAUCUUGUAGAUGCCUUCUACCGUCGCGAUUGAAGAGAAUGCCCAGCAAGAACCUAAUUUCAAAACAUAUAUUCAAGUAAUUAGCACAACUGGUACAAGCAAAAGUUUCGUAGAUUAUUAAUUAAGAUGUAAGAAGAACAUUCAAACAAGUAUGGACAAGGUGGAAAUAUUGAUUACUGUAUUACUUUAUUAUCUAUGUUGUUUACUUGUGUGAAAAUGAUUAAUGUCGUCAUACUUCUUGUCAGAAAUUAAUUUUUCUAGAAACUUAAACUAUCGAAGAAUGAUUUCUAAUUAUUAAGAAUUAAUACACCUUACGUGUAAUCUACAAAUUUAUAGAUAGUAGAUGAUAACGUGUGUUCGUACACUUUUAGUUCGUCUGAGACAUGAACCUUGCAUUUAAAUGCGGUAGAGGUUUGAUUUCUUUGUCAACAUAAAUGGCUGAUGGAACAGUGAGAUUUGGGCCCAAGGCAUCCUAUUCUCAUCAGGUUAAUUAAAAAAUAAAAUUUGUAAAGGUUCAGGAUGCUAUAGCUAGAAAUUAAUGUGCUUUAGUUCUCUAAACUCAACACUUGAUUCUUACCGCAAGAGCCUUGAUUCUUGACUGGUGUGACGGCACCGUAAUCCCUCCAAUCAAUGCUUUGAGGUAUCGCGGACAUGUUUACAUCCUCAAACGACACCGAUGGCUCUAAAUUUGUCAUAUUUAGAGGAAGAGAUAGACCGACAUGCUGAGCCACAAUUUCAUUAUUUGUCAUGUCAGCGAAUUGGUUAAUGCCCAGAGUAUACGAGUUUCCGCCACGCCUGUUAAAGGCUUCGAUGCGGUUUACAUUGUCUUUAAAGAUCUCAAAACGGCGCAUCUUCUCAGCAUCGUCACUGUAAACUCGGCCGAAAUCAGCCAUCCAUUCUUCAAACCUCUUCAUCAUCGAAUCAUCUGCUUCGCCGCGAGAAGCCAACGACGAAGCCCACAUCACAGAAAGAAACAAAAAAAGAAACAAUAUUUGGAAUUUGGAAGCCAUAGCUCUGACUUACAAAUGCUUUUGUUGCUGAGAGUUAGGCUCUCCGCAUCGAGUUUAUAUAGAAGUUCUCGGCCCAUGCACUAAAGUUGCUGGACCAUUAAAUNUCGAAUCAUCUGCUUCGCCGCGAGAAGCCAACGACGAAGCCCACAUCACAGAAAGAAACAAAAAAAGAAACAAUAUUUGGAAUUUGGAAGCCAUAACUCUGACUUACAAAUGCUUUCGUUGCUGAGAGUAAGGCUCUCCGCAUCGAGUUUAUAUAGAAGUUCUCGGCCUAUGUACUAAAGUUGCUGGACCAUUAAAUUUUAAUUUUUUAAAAACUUUUUUUAGAGGAAAAGAUACAACGUGCAUGUGAUGAAAUCAUUAAUUAAUUUCUCUCUUAUCCAUUGUUCGAUAGGAAAGUCGCAAUCAAGAGAGGUACAACUUUUCACUCCGUACGCGAGAGUUAUAGUGGCUGAGCUUGCCCCUCCAUGUGUGUUGACGUACGUCGUUGCAUGAUUGAUAAUACAGCAUGCGUUGCACAACAGGAAUUAAAAAUACAGCAUGUGCAUGCGCAACAGGAAUUAAAAAAUACAGCAUGUGUCGCACUAUAGGAAUAAGAAUAAGAGCCGCACAUAAUUUUAAAAUGAUAUAUGUACAUUAACAAAUAUUAUUAUUGUUUACAAUAGCUCUUUUUCUUUUUUUUUUCUUUUUUUUUUGAGAGGAAUCUCAUCAAAAAUAGAGAAUUGUCUAGAUAUCUAUCGUUUCCUGAUGUGUCGAUAUGUUGAAGGUGUUUUGGAUUAUAGUGGCGUUGGACCACAACAUACAUGUGAGUAGUUUAGAUAUCAUGUUAUUUUCUGUAGAUAUUUAAGAUUUCGAUAAAUUGAACUACAUGUCUCUAUUUUUUAAAAAAUUUGAUAUAUAUUUAAGACAUGACUCUUUCAAUUAUAUCAUGCUAGUUCUUAUUCUGAAUAAAAAAAAGGGCUAAAUUUUUUCUGAGUAGAUUUUUCUUUUUUCUUUUUCUUUUCUCUCUCUCUCUCUCUCUCUUUUGAGACCUAGUAGUCUUAUAUUUUGUAGCUAAGUUUAUUUUCGAAAUGAAUGAAGCAGAUAGCUUGCUAUCUUUUUCUCAAAAAAAAAAAAAAAAAAAGCUUAAAUUGAAUCAGUCAAACCUAUCCCCUGCUGUGUAUCAGUUACAACCUCAAUUUUAAAUAUGUUGAAAGGCAAAUUGCACUAAUAAUCUCAACAAACUUCUAUUUUUAGUCCUCAAUUUUAAGUUUUCAAUAUUUGGGACUCGUGACUAUCCAUUCUAGUGCUUAGUUAAAAAAAGUAAAAAAUACAAAAAAUUACGAGCAAAUUAAGCUAAAUUGUAGAAAAGCUCCUUACAUAUGUUGGAUUUUACACUUUUUCUUCAAUAUUUAAACUAUCAGCCAAAUCAUUAUAUACUUUACAACCACUCGCACCAAUAUAAAUUAAGAAGCGAAAAAAGUUCUAAUAUCGUGUUAAAGAACUGAAUCUAAUCAAAACAAAGUCACGGUAAAGAUAACUCUCACAUUAGAUGUACUAUUUAAUAUUAUCUAAUAAUAUAACCAAACAAGUACUCUAUAGAUGAGCGUACAUGCUAUCAGAAGCAGUCGAUGAGCUUCCCGUGCCUUCCAAGUCGUUUUGACUGUUGCGACUUGCGAAUCGUCGAUCGACUCCGUUAAACUUGAUCUAGAGUAUUUGAAGUACCUAGAAAAUAAAUUUUAUGAUUUUACGAUAUCAUUUGCCUAGUGAACGAAGGAGCUCAAAAUCAACGGCUGAAAAUAAAAAUCUUACAAAAUAUAAUAAUAUGACAUUAAAAUUUUAAAUCAAAGAUAUUUAUCUUGUUUUAUAUAGUAUAAAGAAUUUUCUAUCAAAAUUUCACGUGAUUUGGAUAUUUCUACACCGUUAAACUUGCAAACGGCUCACUACGGCCAUUGAAAUUUGUUGAUUUUGAGCCCAUUCGAUCACUAGGCAAAUAAUAUCGAAAAAUAAUAAAAUUUAUUUUCUAGGUACUCCAAAUACUCUAGAUCAAGUUUAACGGAGCCGAUCGACGAUUCGAAAGUCGCAAUAUCGAAAACGAGUUGGAAGCACGGAAGGCUCCGUGCUUCCGAUAUCAUAGUAGCCUCACUCCUCUAAUAAUAUAAUUUUGUAUUUUGUAUUUCAAUUAUAUAUACUUUCCAUAUUGACCCUCACAUUACCCCAUAAAUAUUCAAAACAAAUAAAUCUACAAAAAUAUUUUUUUUUGAGAUAUUUUUGUAUCAUAAUGUUGCAUGUGCAUGUGCAUGUGCAUGACUUUUCAAAUUGCCUGGGACAAAAAUAUUAUAUGUUUGGGGACUUUGCGGAUCGGCGCCACGUGGUCGAUUCAAUGGUCACGGAUCUCAGUUGCUUUUUCUCUCUCUCUAAAAACACAGAAUUUUUUUUUUGUCUUUCCAUCCGUGGCCAUCGGAUCGGCCACGUGGCACCAAUUUGCAUAGUCCCAAACACAUGCCCAUAAAAUUUUUGUACAAUUGUCUGGGGGCCAUCCCAAUAAUUUUGCAGCCAACGCAUUCAAUGCGGUGACAACUUAAAUUUAAUUAUUGGAGCAAGAAAAUGUGAAACCCUUAAACUUUAAGCGACUUUGAAAUAGCUCCUCAAUAUGGUUUUUCCCUCAUUGCCAUGUUUUAUAUUAGUUUAGGGUGUGUUUAGUUCUACCUAAAAUUGUUCCAAUUUUUUUUUUUCGGUUGAAAAGUAAAAUCUCAAAACAGAACCAGAAACCAUAAUGUCGAAGCAAACAACAGAACCAGAAACCAUAAUGUCGAAGCAAGCUUAGCAAUUGGAUGCAGCAAACAUCCAUAUUUAUGCAAGUUAAGCAAACAAGAUAGCAAACUGCAGUGUUGCUAAAUCAUUUGCUUCCCACUUAUUAAGAUGAGCACAAUGUCGAAAAAAUAUUAUUAUUAUACUUUCAAAAAUACAAUUAAUUUAUUAUUGAUAAUGUGGUAUAAAUAUGAUACGGUAAAUUUUCUCAUCGUCAUUUGUUUGGACCGAUACGAUGUAAUCGGGAGGGGUACAACUUUCACUCUUACGCAAGAGUUAUUGCUGUUGAUGUGUUGUUUAUUGGGACAAAAGUUUUAUAGGCAUAGUGCUCAAACUAAUUAAUUUGGAGAUUAUGCGGACUGAUGCCACGUGGCCGAUCCGACGGCUACGGAUGGAAAAAAAAAAAAAAAAAAAUUCGUGAUUUUAGAGAGAGAAAAAAAAGCACGGAGAAUCCGUGCCCGUCAGACUGCCACAGGGCGGCCGUAUCCGCAUAGUGCCCAACCAAACUAAUUAAUUGAGCACUACAGCCCAUAAAAUUUUUGUCCGUUUAUGGAAUUAUUUUUUCAGGAGAAGAAUGACGCUAAUCUGCUACCAUAAUAAAGAGGGUGAAUUAAUAGCUACAAGGAUGAGGACAGCAACGUGUCACAGAAAGAGAGACAGAAAAAAAAACAACGAAAAAAAACAUAGGAAGGUAGUUUCGAUUACAAGACCCAAAGAAUGUUCCAAGAGUUUUAUUGGAAUGAUACGCGAAUCAUGUUUGCACAACGGGAGGAGGAGCAAAUAAGAGAGCAAGCAUAAAAAUUACAACGCGAUUCACGCUCUCUUAAAAUAUUAUAAAUAUUUACAAAAUACCUUUUAAGCGAAAAUAGUCCCAUCAAAACAUAUGUUGAGAGUUACAAAUAAGGACGUGUUUUGGUUCGCUUUUUUUUCGCGCCUGGAAUCAAACUUCGAAAUCGGAAUGGGUAAAUCACAUUUGUGGGUGUUGGUACGGCGGAGUGCCAUCCAAUUCCCGAUGCCCGAGUGGACAUGGAAUCCCCCAAUCACUCUCUUUUCAUUCCGCGGCUUAGGAGGCCGAAUUGAAAUUGAAUCCGACGGAAUGAUAUUUAAUUCGGAUUAAAUUUAUUUUUAAUUGUUUUUAAUUAAACAUAGAGUUAAAAUCAAAAUUAAAAAUAUAGUAAUUUUUAAAUUUAAUUUAAAACCUAAAUUAAAAUUAAAAUGUAAAUCAAAGUAUUUCGAAUACUAAACUUAAUGAAUUGAAUUUAAAAAUUAAAUUUUAAAAUUUAUAUAAAGUUUUAUUCAAAUUUAUUGCAACCCUAAAUUAAAUUUAUGAUUCAAAUUAAAAAUUUAAAUUUGUAAAUUUUAAGUUGAAUUUGAAUAAAUCUAAAUUUAUUUCAUAUUUUUAAUUCAUCACACUCACUUAAAGUUUAUUUUUUUAAAAAAAAUAGAUUUUAAAUUUGACAUUAUUCAAAUUUUGAUAUAAAUUUUAAUAUUUAAUUUUAAUUUGAAUUUAAAUUAUAUAUGAAAAGAUAAUGUUAGUAUAGUUAAUUGAUUACUUUUUAUAUCCACCUGAACCAAACACUGAAUAAGGAAUGAUUUAUGCGAUUCCGAUUCAAGGUAUUAAACCAAAUCAGGGAAUAGUAAGAGCAAUUAACAAUUCCGAUUCCAGCUUUUGGAUUCCGAUUACGCGAUUGCCGACUCCGAUUUUCGAACGACAAACACUGCCCUAUUACCAUUGACUUUUACCAUUGACUAUUAUAUAUCUAUUAAUAGUCGGCUUAAAUUUUUAUAGUGAUAUCAAUAAAAAGGGGGGCGACGAUAUUGCCCAGGCCAUUCAUUGAAGAGGACAUGACCCUACAUAUUUUUGAAAUGCCCUCUAAAUAUUUUAUGCAAUACAUUUAUAUCAUCAUGCAUCACAAUGAAUAAUUAAAAAUAAAAAUAAAAAUAAAAAUUAGAAUUAAAACUAAAAUUAAACUUUUAAUGUAAAUAAAAGUGCAAUCAAAUUUAAAUCUAAAUUUAAAUUGAAAUAAAUAAAACUAAUUCAACAUCUAAUUUGACAAGUAACAUUAGUGAAUUCUUAAUUGGAUUCAAUUGAAUUUUCAAAUUCGAAUUACAUUUGAGUGCAGCUAAGAUCAAAGUUUAAAUGAAAAUUGACCAAAUAAUGUAAGCUGAAAUGCAGCUAUUGCGUUACAAGUGCCUGGUAAUGCUUGAUAAGGAUAGUAAAGCGCGCUUCGACAGGUCACCCGUUGUUAGAUAUUAUGAAACGUAGCCUUGUCCACCCAACCGCCUGCACCCAUAGUCCGUAGUUUAAUAAUACAACAGCACAAUCGAGAACUUCUUUCUCCGAAAGAGAUACUAAUCCCUGCUUUGACUUGUAGAUCUCUUUCACUGUCGCAUAUUGCACUGAAGCCUGCAAAACCUAUGCAGAACAAAGUUUUACGUAGCAUAACUAACUAGAGACAAAGUUAUAUAAUGAUAUACGCAUGAACUAAGGAAACAUUCAAACUAACAUAAUUAACGUUAUUUGCAAGUACAGAGCGCUUUUAACUUGUUUAAGAUUUUGAGUGUUAUAAAAUUGUCACCUAAAAGAUAUUGGCGGUUUGAACUCUCAUACACGACAUGUUUCAAAAUUUAGAAAAUUAACUAGUAGAGGAAAAAGUACAGACUAGAGGAUCACAUUUCGGAAAUUCUGAAGAUGAUUUUUCGGCCAAUCCAGAUUCGCAGCACACAUUAGAACAAAAUAAUGAUUUGAACACUCUAACAAGAUAUAGCAGUGUUGCGCACUUUAAUAUGCACAAACAUAACUAUACGAAGUAUGUUGUAUACAUUAAAUUUACUAUGUCCAAAUAAUAGGUUAAAGAUGGAAUACGAAUGAGAUUGAUUUCUUUUUUUUCCGCUACAACUCAGUUAGGUUUUGUUCUUUUACAGUGGCGUCCGACCGCAAACAUACAUCAUACCGAUUAUAUACUCAGAUCCAAUUUUAUUCGAACCAGAUAAUAUAGAAUUUGUAAUGCACUAUAGUCCUAAAACCUUAAUUAGUUAGGCUAAAUAAGAAAAAUCCUCUUGUUAACCAUCUGUUUUCACUUCCUCCAUGCUGCAUUUAAAAAUCUAUAACCUUGCGCCCCCCUAAAAAUAAAAAAUAUUCAUAUUCGGUUCCUGCCGUCAGUUUCUAGUUGAGGUUCCAUUUCAUAUCUUAUUUUUGUAAUUCAAAAUAUUUCUGAAUUCUCAUCUACUAUCCACACACCAUGACCGCCUCGCUCUGCCCACUCCCCUUCAUAGCGUAGAUGCAUCCACGCCUGCUCUCUGCCGCCUGGAAUGACAAGAUUGGGGAACAGAAAUAAAGAAAAGUAGGAACAUUUGUUCAUCUUUAUCACACCAAUAUCAUUCUAUAAAUACGUUUUUAUUUUUCGAUAAAAAAAGCAAAGUAUCAUGAUUUUUUUUUAAAAAAAACAAGAAAAACGGCUUUGCUAAAGGUUUCAUAUAAUAGCCAUUUAAUUAAUGCGAGCAACAUUCGCAAACUGAAAAAUGCUAGAAUGCACGGUUAUAAUUAGUGACCGUACGCGGCAUAACAAACCAAUUACAUUAAUCCUUUUAAAAAUAUAUGUCCGCAUCAUGAAUGUAAAGAGUAUUUAUUGUACUUUAUUUUGAAAAGAUGAUAUGAUUGGCUUUUAUGAGACGUGGUGCAAAUGUGACAGUGAGAUUCCUCUUCCAAACAUAAGGCACGCCCUCAGCUCAAACAUUCCAAACUAGGUCCAAACGUUCUUCUUUUUUUAAAAAAAAGUUGAGUUUUGUUUUUAUUUUUUUGAUAAUUAGAUUAAAAUAUUAUAAGAUUUUUAUCAGAUUUUCCUGUGAUCCAUCAAAUUUAAACAGUUGACCAUUCUGCAUUGAACUUAAUAAUUACUAAAAUUCAAGAUAUAUUUAUCAAAUAUAUCAAAUAAAAAUUCAUAUAUUUACAUAGGCGAAGGUACGUAGGACGUAAUGCAUCCCAAAUGGAUUAACCAAGUUCAUCGCAUCGAAACCAAAACGCAUACUUAACAAAAAACGCGUCUUUUAUUUAGUAACUGCCAAAGAUGAAGAACCAUUUCGGUCAGAGAACACCUAAUAUUUUUAAGUAAGAUUCAAAAAACCUCCAUGUGAAUUCGUAGUUUCUCACUGUUGCCUCCCUGUGUUUAAAAUGUAUCAAUUGCUCCCCCGUGUUCUUUUUCUCUUUUUUAUCAUUGCAUUUAUUUUUUAUCUUAAUCAGUCUAAAGUUAAAAUAAAAGUAUAAAAUAAAUAUUUGAUAACUCUAGAUGGAUAUCUGAAGUUUUGUAUAUAAUUUGAUGAAAUAUUAAGAAAAACUACCAAAAAAUAAAAAUGAAACCACAGGGGGCAAUAUUGAUACAUUUUACACCACAGGGAGGUAAGUGAAAAACUACGAAACCAUAGAAGGGAGUUUUUGAAGUUUUUCUUUUAAAAAAAAAAAAUUAUUUAAAUAGACUAAUUUUUUUAAAAAAAUAUUAUUUAUUUAUGUAAUUCAAUGACUAUAAUUGUAAUAGAAUAAAUUUUCUCAUUUAUUGAAUAUUUUUUUAAAAAAAAUUUUUUUUUAUUGUAAAUUUUUGAUCCGUCUGCUGAUCUCCAUCUAUUAUGGUCAGAAUUGAGAGAAAGCUAGAUACACAAGCCAUUGCAUAAGUUACAGAUAUGGUGUGGCUCAGUCGAGUAGGUUAACGGCAAACCCUUAUUUCCACCCAUAGUUGGCCGCACAUACACAAGUUGCAUUGCAUAAAGAGACCAUGUGAUCCAUUUAUAGUACUAACCAAGGCACACUAGUCCACAUAAAUGAAGGACACAUCAUUAUAGAUUUCAAACUUAACAUACUGAUAGAGACACACCGGAAACAAAACAGAAACCCACAAUGUCGAAACAAGCUAGCACUUGAUGCACGCAAAAUCCUUAUUUAUGUAAGAAACGCAAAUAAGUAGGCAAACUAGCAGGUCGAAAAAAUCAUUUGCUGUUCCGACUUAUUACGUAGCUUCAAUUUCAGAAACCCAUCUUAAUAACUUCGGCAUUAGCCCUGAUUGGAAGUAGGAAUAGAGGAGACAUGCGAUUCCACAUACUCCAGAAGACGAUACACAACUCUGCCCAUAACGACGUAUCCACUUCUCCCCCCAUGACUGCCCCCACGAGUCCUUACUAUCUAAUAUUUUUAGUUCCACGGCUAUCAUGCCCGUACCUAUAAUGGUAAUGGCAUGAUUAGAGACUAGUUCACACAGGUCCGGCGCUAAACACAACCCCAUUGUAAAUUGAAAGUUUCACUGGCAUCGAUAAGAGCACUAUGUUGAUUCGACACAGCGCGUACAUAUGCUGCGUCAAUCGUUCCUUCGCACAUAUGAAUAACCAGUAAUGUAAGCUGAAUUAGAACAGCUAUUGGCGUUUGGCAAGUGCCAUUGAGCUAUGCUUGAUAAGGAUAGUUUUUCGUGGUCACACCGUUGUUUAUGAUAUGAUGAAAUCGAGGCCUUGUUCACGAAACCUAGCCGCCUUUGCAACCGCUACUACAGCACAUCGAGGAACUUCUUGCUUCCGAUAAAGAUACUAAGUUACCCCUGUUUUAUCUGUAGAUUCCCUCACCGUCGCAAUUGCACGAAUGACCAGCAAGAACCUAUGCCAAACAAAAGAUACGCGUUAGCAUAACGACGAAGCAAAGUUAUAUCUGAGAUGCAAUGAUAUAACGAAUAUCCUCACAACUCAACAAUAAUAUAAAUGUUUUUGGCAAUACAGACUGCUUUUAACUUUAUUUCAAACGGUUUGUCAAGGCAUAUGGAGUCCUGUUCUUUUUGACUACAACGACUUUGGCUUACUUUAUAUAACUGAUUAUGGCAUAACUCAAUUAAUAGUAAGAGAACUCAGCAAAUAGAGCUAAUUGCAAAUAGAUUGAAUCAAGUCGAAGCCUGUGAACAUUGUCCUUGAAUCCUUAAAUGCGAUGGAUGUGUCCUUUUUAUCACCAUGUAUGUAUUUUUGGAUAGUUAAUUAACACUUAUAUAUACAUUUGAUGGCUAAGUUGAUUUUUUAUUAACUAGAUUCAAUACUUCAUUUCUUUGUACAUUGAUAAUGUGUGAUUAUACAUGUUUAGACACUUUUAAUCAGCCAAAGUAAUGGAAUUAUUGAGUUUUAGUGGGCGGAAAUUUGGUCCUUUUGUCCAGAAAAGGCAGAAGGCAUUCGGUAGCAAGCAUAUUUGAUCUAAGCAACAUGUUAGCAGCAUCUUAUAAAGUUAACUAAGAAUAAUUUUUUUUUCUUUUUUCUAGUUGAAGAAAUGAAGUUGCAUUGACAAUUUAUAGUCUAAAUUAUUUCUUACCACAGGGGUUUUGAUUCUUGACCUCGUUUACGGCACCAUAGUCUCUCCAAUCAAUACUUUGAGGCACCGCGGAGAUGUUUACGUCAUCAAAUGACACCACUGGCUCUCUCUCGAUAUUUAGUGGGAGAGAUACGCCGGUAUAUUGAGCAACAAAUUCGCUUUUUGUCAUAUCGGUAAACUGAUUGAUACCGAGAGUGUACGAAUUUCCGUUGCGACUGUUAAAGGUUUCGAUAUGCUUCACGUUGUUCUUGAAUAUCUGAAACCGGCGCAUCUUCUCGUCGUUGUCCUUGUAAACUCGGCCAUACUCCGCCAUCCAUUCUUCAAACCGCUUCAUCAUGGGAUCACUGGGUUCGUCACGAGAAGCUGCCGAUGGCGAAGCCCACAUCACACAGAGAAACAUGAAAAGAAACACGAGUUGAACUUUGGAAGCCAUGCUUAUGUAGCACUAAAUAUGUAUGAGGAAAUUGGAGAUGGAGCUACAAGAGCUUUUGGUGCUGAGAGUAUGGUGUCAAGAUCGAGUUUAUAUAGAAGUUCAUGCCUUGGAAUGUAGGUGCGAGAAUUAUUGUGUGGGGGCCUACAAGAUGUCACAAAUCGCCAUCAAAUUAAGAUUAAAUAGUUCUGGACCGCUUGCGGCACCACGUCAUGUGGUCACUAGUGUAGUGAUUUGCUUAUUACGUCGGGCAAAUACUAUUGACAUAAAAAUUGGUACAAAAUAAAAUAUCAGUUUAGUAUGAAAAAAUAGUAAAUAUAGUUUAUAUUAUAAACAAACACUUCUAAACAAAAUAAAACUAAAAUGAAAAAAAAUUAAUCAUUCCAAUAAAAUUAUUCAAGCUUGUUAAAAAAAAUCGCAUAUCAUACAAAUGGAUGAUUAAAAUUAUUUUUAACUUGGGAUGUCUCCACCAGAUGGAUGCGAGGCAGAGACUCAUUGUCAGGAGCAGCAAGAGCACUUUUCGACUUAUGCUUUGUUGGAGCUUGUUGGGAACUUUGGAAGGAACGGAAUUCACGGAUCUUUUAGCAACCAACACUCGACGUACGACGAACUAGGAAGGAUUGUUGUUUCCAUCGUAAAGUUCUGGGAAUCUAUUUUGGGGUCCUAAUUGUGAAUCGUUUUGUUUGUUUUACCCUGUUAAUUAGUGGUCCUGUUCUGUUAAUUAGUGGUCCUGUUGUGCUUUCUGAAGUUAGCUCAAGGGGCCUUCUUAGGGAAAGCCAAGCUAGCUCUGCUAUCUUAAGAUGUAUUCUCUGUUUCAAAUAUAGUAUAUUCCUGUUUAAUCAAAAAAAAAAUAUUUUUAUAAUACAAUAAUCAGAUAAAAUAUCAUAUAACAGUUGAUAUGACUAAAAAAAACUCACAAUAACUGACCGUUCCUAGAGCAAGUGGCAAAGGGCUUGGUGAUUGGUACCCGAGGUCCCAAGUUCGAAUCCUAGUUGAUUCACAUUUCCAGCUAAGUUUAUUUCUAAAUGAAAUAAACGAAGCGGGUAGCAUGCUACCUAUCUAAAAAAAAAAAAAAAAAAAAAACUCACAAUUAUACGCAAGACAAAUACUAUAUAUAUAAACAUAUGUAAUUCGGUCUAUCGACAGACUAUUUUUUAGCGGAAAAAAAAAUGAUUCACUUCUUACUAAAAUAAAUAAUGUAAUGAAAAAAACUUUUAAUACUUUUUAUCAUCUAAAAUAGAAAAAAAUAUACUUAUUCAAAAUUUUGUCAACCGAAAGAUAUUACUAUAAAUCUAUAUUUUAAUUCAAAAUUAUUUAAUAUUUUUUUAUCUCUAAAAAUAAAAAAAUUCAUACUAUUCAAAUUUUUGCUACAAUAUCUAAUGUAAAUCUAUAUUUCAAUUCAAAAUUUAAAAUUAAUUUAAAAUUUAAAUUUAAAAUUUGAGAACUAUCAACAUAUUAAAAUAAUUUUAAAUAUUUUUUUUUCCAUAUUAUAGUGAACGAUUAUACUUAAUUACCAUUAGAAAAUAAAGAAGUUACCUUAAUUUAUAUGAUUUUACUCCAACCACUUUCAUCUACUAGCAUGCUCCAGUUCCCAAAUGUGUCUAAAUUAGAAGACAAUCCAAAUAUGAAAGCGACGAUUAGAAGUUGACAACUAAAGUUAAUUUAAUCGUUAAACUUCAAUUUACUCUCCGCUGAUUUUAGCUUAUUUUUUUAAAAUUUGAUUUUUACUGUAGUUCAAAAUUGCCUUAAUUAUCAUAUAAUUUUAUUUUUAUUUUACCGAUAGAAUUUGACAUAAGUUAGCAAAGUAAAUUUUUUUUAAAAAAAAUCAUAAAGUGAUAUCUGCUUACCAAUAAAUUCUUACAAUAAAAUAAAAAUAAUAUUAGUAAAAUAGUUAAGUAUGUAUAACUUUUCAAACCACGUAAAAAGUGAAUUAAAAAAUAUUAAACAACAGUAAAAAAAUUAAAAUUACUCGAUCCCAAUUCAUUCAUUUUCUUCAUCCAAAGAUUCUACAAUCUCAUUCUCUCAACGACAUUCGAGUGCAAAUUAAACAUAUACAUGUUACACCAAAAGUCAAAUCAGGCAUUAUAAUUUUUUUAAUAUAUAAAUUUUUAAAACUUUAUAAAAUUAUAUCAAAUAAAUUAAAUUUUAAUUUCAAAUUUUUUAGAGGAAAAGAUAAUUAGUUACACAUUUUGUUCAUUUUGAGAUUUUUUUUUUCCCCAAGUAAAACCUAAUAAGUGAUGUAGUGCCGGCAUGCAUAUGCUGAUCCUUGAAAAUUUUUAAGUAUCGUUUGGUUUGGAAAUAAGCAAAAAGUGGUUAUUCCAGGAAUAGGUAUAAAUUGAGGUAUAAGUAGGGGUUAUAUCAAUUUUGAGUUUGGAUGAAAAUUAGAUUUUUUUUUUUUUAGAAUAAAAAAAAAGUAUUUGGUUAGGUAAGAUGUAAUAAAAAUUUAAAUGGAUAGUUAUAAAUAAAAAAUAAUGAUGUUAUCAUUUUCUUUAUAUUAAAAUUUGAAAUUUGAAAUUUUAUAUUUAUAUUUUAGAAUAAAUAUAAACUUUUAAAUUUUAAAAUUUCAAAAUCUCAAAUUUACAAUUUUAAAAAUUUAAAAUUUAAAUUUUAAACUUUAAAAUUAAAAUGAAAUUUUAAUUUAAAAAUACAAAAUAUCAAAUUCUAAAUAUAAAAAAUUUAAAAUAUCAAAUUUUAAAAGUUAAAAUUAAACAUGAAUUUUUUUGUGUUUGGGGGAGCACGACGAGGGGGGACAGAGGAGCGAAGCGGAGGGGCGGGGGGUGAGGUGGUGGGUGUAUCUGCGUGUGUUGUGUUUUUAUAUAUGUAGGUGUAUUUUUUUGAUUUGGUUUAUUUAAAUUGUUGCAAUUAUUUUUUAAGUUACGCCUAUGGAUAACAAUACUGCGCCAAUUUAAAAAAAUUCUUUAAUUUGAUGGUCUGGCAGUAUGUCACAUUCUCGAUUGUUCGUAGCGUGUGCUUAUCAAUAUAACGACUACAUUUUAAGGACUAUCGUCUUAGGGUAUAACGGUGAGAAUAUCUCACAACUCAACGAGNNNNNNNNNNNNNNNNNNNNNNNNNCAGACUUUAUCAAAUUUAAUUUUAAUUUAAAAAUUUUAAACUAUUUAUGUGAUGUAUGCGGAUGAUGAAAAUAUUGAUAAAUAUCUAGAGGCAUUUUCAAGAAUUUGAAUAUCAACUAUAUAAAAUUUAUGAGACUCAAGUGAUAUAUAACAGGCAAUGGUAGAAUAAGUAUUUUGUAACUAUCACGAUUAUUUUGGAUUGAGACUAAUCGUUUAACGUGAGCCUUAAUUGACGGUAUAAAUAAUUUAUGAGAUUUUUCUUAUCACUCCUCCUCCUCCGUAUGCGCAACACGUGCUCCGGUAAUAAUUCCAAUACACAACACAUCCUGCAGUAACUCUUGUUACGGAGUGAAGGUUUGUCCGCCCCCUCAUUCUGAUUGCAUCUGUCAACGAAAAGGACGAACAAAUGCUUUCUAAUAAUAUAGGUACCUGCCGUUAUCUGUCCUAAAUAAAGGUUUUAUAGCUUUGCUUGCGAAAAUGUUUACUAUAUCAUACUUACAUCGCAUCACAAUAAUAAAUAUAUUAUAUAAUUUUUAAUAUAUAAUAAAAUUUUUUUAUAUUAUUAUAAUAAAUAAAUUUAAAAAAUUCUUAAUUUGAUUGUGGAGAUGUCACUUAUCAAUAUAACGGAUACAUUUAAGACUAUGUUCGGUUAGGGGAUAAGGUGGAAUUUAUUCACCCUCAUCCCCAAACACAAAAAAAUUCUUUUAAUUUUACUUUAAAAUUUGAUAUUUUAAUUUUUAUAUUUAGAAUUUGAUAUUUGUAUUUUAAUUAAAAUUUCAUUUUAAUUUUAAAGUUUAAAAAUUUAAAUUUUAAAUUUUAAAUUGUAAAUUUGAGAUUUUGAAAUUUUAAAAUUUAAAAGUUUAUAUUUAUUCUAAAUAUAAAUAUAAAAUUCAAAUUUCAAUUUAAUAUAAAGAAAAUGAUAACAUCAUUAUUUUAUUAUACUAUACCAUUUAAUUUUAUUACAUCAUACUAACCAAUACUUUUUUUUUAUUCUAAAAAAAAAAAAAUCUAAUUUUUCAUGCAAACCAAAAUAUGAUAUACCCCUUACUUAUACCUCAAUUAUAGCUAUUCUCUGGAAUAACAUUUUGAUUAUUUCCAAAGCAAACGAUACUAAAAAUUUUCAAGAUCAGCAUAAUGCAUGCCGCACUACACUUAUUAGUUUACUUUGGGGAAAAAAAAAAUCUCAAAAUGAACAAAAAUUUAACUAAUUAUUUUCCUAAAAAUUAUGAAAUUAAAAUUUAAUUUUAUUUGAUAUAAUUUAUACCAGUUUAAAAAUUAUAUAUUUAAAAAAUUAUAAUGCCUGAUUUGACUUUGGUGUAACAUGUAUAGUUGUAUAAUUUGCACUCGAAAUGUCGUUGAGAGAAUGAGAUGUAAAUCUUUGGAUAAGAAAAGAAAUGAUUGGAUCGGUUAAUUUAAUUUUUACUGUUGUUUAAUAUUUUUAAAUUCAUUUUACGUGUUGAAAAGAUAUACAACUUAACAUAUUACUAAUAUUAUUUUUAUUUUUAUGUAGGAAUUAUUGUUAAGCAUGCUACACUUAUGAUUUUUUUUAAAAAAAUUACUUUCUAACUUAUGUAAUUCUAUGGGUAAAAUAAAAAUAAAAAUUAUAUAAUUAAGUGCAAACUUUCGAACUGCAGAAAAAACAAGGAACAAUCUACUAAAUCAGGGAGAGUAAAUUGAAGUUAACGAUAAAUAACUUUAGUUGCUAACUUCUAACUCGGCUUUCAUAUUUUUGGAUUUGUCUUCUAAUUUAGACACAUUGGGGAACUGCGAGCAAUGCUAGUAGAUGAAAGUGGUUGGAGUAAAAUCAUAUAAAUUAAGGUACAACUUCUUUAUUCUAAUGGAUAUAAGUAUCGUUCACUAAUAUGGAAAAAAAAUAAUUUUAAAUAUUUUAAUAUGUUGAUAGUCCAAAAUUUAAAUUUAAUGUUAAUUUUAAAGUUUUGAAUGGAAAAUAUAGAUUUACAUUAGAUAUUGUAAAAAACAUUUGAAUAAGUAUGAAUUUUUUUAUUUUAUAGAUAAAAAAUAUAAUAUUUGAUUAAAAAUAGAUAUUAUAGUCAAUAUCAAUUCGGUUGACAAAAUUUGAGAUAAGUAUAUUUUUUCUAUUAAGAUAAAAAGAUAUAUAAAAGUUUGUUUCAUUUACAUUAUUCAUUUACGUAAGGAAGUAAAUCAUUUUUUUUCCUGUAAAAAAUACGGUCUGUGAUAAAUUAGAAAUAUGUUGUAUCUUGCGUAUAUAUAAUGUAGUUUUUUUUUUUUUUUUUUGAUAGGUAAGCAUGCUACCAUCGCUCGUUAUUCAUUAGAAAUAAACUUAGCGGAAAUGUGAAUCAACUAGUCGAACUUGGGACCUCGGUACAAUCAUCCCAAGCCCUUUGCCACUUGCUCUAGGAACGGUCAUUAUUGUGAGUUUCUUUUAGUCAUAUCAACUGUUAUAUACUAUAUUUUAUCUGAUUAUUGUAUUAUAAAAAUAUUUUUUUUUGAUUAAAACAGGAAUAUAUAUAUUUGAAACAGAGAUACAUCUUAAGAUAGCAGAGCUAGCCUUGCUUCCCUAAGAAGUCCCUUGGACUAACUUCAAGACAACAUGACCACUAAUUUAUAUUAAUCGAACAGGACCACAUUAACAGGGUAAAACAAACAAAAACGAUUCACAAAUUAGGACCCAAAAUAGAAUUCCCAGAACUUAGAUGAAACAAACAAUCUUCCUGAUUCGUCGUAGCGAUGUUGUUUCUAAAGAUCUUAUUCCGUCUCAAAGUUCCCAAACAAGCUCCAACAAGAGCAUAAGUCGAAAAGUCGCAUCUUCUGCCCUGACAAUGAGUUCUCUGCUCGAUCCAUCUUGUGGUAGACAUACUCAGUUAAAUAAUUUUAAAUCAUCCAUUUGUGAAUCGAAGCGAUUUUAAUCAAUUUAAAUUUUAUUGGACAUAUAUUUUUUUCAUUUGUUUUAUUUGUUUAGUAAGGUUUGUUUAUAAAUUAAAUAUAUUACUAUUUUUUCAUACUAAAAACUGAUAUUUAUUUUUACAAUUUUUAAUGUCAAUAUAAUUGCCCGACGUAAUAAAGCAAAUCACUACACUAGUGACCACAUGCGUCGGGUGCCGCAAGCGGUCCAAACUGAUUUAACUAAGUUUUGAUGCGAUUGGUGACAUCUUGGUAGCCCCACACAAUAAUUCUCGCACCUACUUCCAAGGCCAUGAUACUUCUAUAGUAAACUCGAUCUGACACAUACUCUCAGCACCAAAAGUCUUGUAGCUCCAUCUCAAUGUUCACCAAUACAUAUUAGUUGCUACAUAAGCAUUGGCUCUCCAAAGUUCAACUCGUUGUUCUUUUCAUGUUUCUCUGUGUGAUUGGGCUUCGCCAUUUUCGUCAGCUCUCGGACUGAACCCUAGUUGUAUUCUCCAUAUGAUUGUAACGGUUAUAAUUUGAGAUAUGGAUGGCGAGUAUUGGCGAGUUUACAAGGACAACGACGAGAAGAUUGCUCGCGUUUCAGAUAUUUCAGUAACAAGCGUGGAAGCAUUAUCGAAACCUUUACACAAGUUCGCAACAGGAAUUCGGUACACUCUCGGUUCAAUCAGUUUACCGAUAUGACAAUAAAGCGAACUUUGUUGCUCAAAUAUUAACUGGCUAUCUCUCCCACUAAAUAUGAGAGGAGAGCUAGUUGUGUCAUUUGAUGGACGUAACACAUCUCCGCGGGUGCCUCAAAGUAAUUUGAUUGAGAGAGACUAUUGGUGCCUAAACGAGGUCAAGAAUCAAAACCCCUGCUGGUAAGAAAUAAUUUAGACUAAUAAUUUCUGCAACUUCAUUUCUUAACAGAAAAAAGAAAAAAAAUUAUUCUUAGUAACUGUUAUAAGAUCUGCUAACAUGUUGCUUAGUUUUUUAUUCUUCCCGAAUGGCCCCUUCUGCUUUCUGGACAAAAGGACCAAAUCCGCCCACUAAUUUUCUGCUGAUAAAAGUUCUAAACAGUAUAAUCAUUUUUAUUUCAAUGUACAAAGAAAUGAAGUAUUGAAUCUAGUUAAUAAAAAUCAUCUUAAGCCAUCAAAUGUUAUAUAAGGUAAUUCACUAUCCAAAAAAUACAUUUUGGUGAUACAAAAGGACACUUUUUAUCCAUCGCUUUUAAGUGAUUCAAGACAUAUGUCCUACUUCGACUUGAUCAAUCUAUUUGCAAAUUAGCUUAUGCUGUGUUUUUUACUAUUAAUUAAAGUUAUCAUUUAAUCAUACCUACUAAAGUAAGCAAAGUACGUGUUAGUUCAAAAAACAGGACAUCAAUGCUGAAACCGUUUGAAAACAUUUUUUAUAUCAAGCAGCUCUGUACUAAAUUUUAAUUAUGUUAGUUAUUUUAUAUUCAUAGCAACUCAGAUAUAACUUUGCUACUUUUUUUACGCGUAUCUUUGUUUUAGGCAUAGGUUCUGCUGGGUCAUCGCUGCAAUUGCGACGGUCGCGAUUGGGAUAUUCUACAAGAAAAACAGGUAUUAGUAUCUUUAUCGGAGCAAGAAGUCUCGAUUGUGCUGUUUUUAUUUUGGCGUGUGGUAUACUAUGCUUAGCUGUGUAUUCAUAGUUCUGAAUCAUCUUUCACAGAUCUGAAUUUAAAUUUUAAAUUUGAAUUCAAAUUUUGAACUUAAAAUUGUAAGUCAAUUUUAAAUCUAAAUUAAAUUUGAAAUUCAAAUUCAAAUUUAUAUUUUGAAUUUGAAUUUCAAAAUAAAACUUUGAAAUUAAAUAUAAAACUAAUUAAAAAUCUAAAUUCACUACAUGCAAGAUAAUUAAAUUAUGGGGACAUAUGUUUGGAAUAUUUUUAUAUAAGUGCCCUAUUUAUGUCAAAACUUUAAAAAUAAUCUAUUAAUGCCUAAAUAUAAAGCCCAAUCCAUUCUCCGGUAAACUAAGAUUAUCGGACCAAUUUUCAUAUUGUAAUGAAUCGAUUGUAACCUAAUUCUUAUAGUCCAUUAAAAAAUAAAAAAGUGAAUAUUUAAAUGAUUUUACAGUAGUUCUUAAGUUAGAAGACGACCCAAAAUAUGCAAUGGCGGAGUUCGGAGCUGGUAACUAAAGUUAAUUUAAUAUGUUAACUUCAAUUUACCCCGUGAUUAAGUAGAUUUUUUCCCUUUUUCCUCCGAUGCUUCAAAAAUUCGCCGACAGAACCCAACGUCAGUUACCAAAGUGAAUUUUUUUAAAAAACUUAUAGCAUACUAUGCUCUUUAACAAUAAAUUCUUACAAUAAAAUAAAAAUAAAAUUAUAGAAUACUGAAGUAUAACUCUUUAAGCCAUUGAAUGACAAAAAAAAUAUAUAUAUAUAUAUAUUAAACCACAAUGAGAAAAAUUGAAAAUUAUCCUACUUUUUAGUUCAUCAUACUAACUCCAUACCUACAAGCUCAUGUAUUACACCAAAAAUCAAACCAUCAUGUAUUAUAUAUUUUUUUAAUAUAAAAAUCUUUUAAACUCUAUAAAAUUAUAUUACAUUAAAUUAAAUUUUAAUUUAAAAUUUUUGGGAGGAAAAGAUGCAGUUUUCAGUUUCGUUCAUUUUACGAUUUUCUUCUCUUUUUUUCCUUUUUGAAGUAAAACGUAGAGACUUGGUGUAUCCUAAUGUUCAUGCGAUGAAAUCAUUAAUUUCUCUCUUGUCCAUUAAUUUUUUGAGAGAAAGGUACCUGCUUUAUUCAUUAAAGAAAAAAUUAAACUACACGAUUAAGAUAAAGGAAUCUCCGAAGUAGACCGAAAAAAUGAAAAAAAAAAUAAUUAAAUUUACAAAAACAUAUAACAAAAAAAAAUUUAAAAAAAAGGAUAUGCUCGUUUAAACACUCUAUUCUUCUCCCACUGAAGCAUCAAACAUCUGAUCGAUUUGACAGCUAGUAAAGAAUUAGUAUUAGCCAAUCUAUAAAUAACGGUGUUUCUUACUGUUCAGAUAACUCACCAAUUUUUUUUUUUGAAAAAGAUAACUCACCAAUUGACUGUGAGUUUUGUAAAUCUGUUUCUAACAUUCUGAGCACUAUCCCUUCCCAUGCUUCCACUUAUCCCAUACUAACCUCUCUUGUCCUUUGCUGGAUCGGAAAGUUGCAAUCAAGUUUGUCCGUUUCUCUCCCUGUUGGAGAGCAGUCAGAUUUUUUUUUUUUGGUGCACCCGGUGCACUAGUUUUGUUUUAAAAUUUUAUUUUUUGUUUUUUAAUUAUAAUUUAAUAAUAUAUCUCAUGAUUUUAAAAAUAUAUGUAAAAUAAUUUAGAAUUUAGGAUUUAAAAUUCUUUUGCAUAUAUUUUUUAAAUAUCAUAAAAUAUAUAUCUGUUAUAUGAAAUUAAAAUUAAGAUUAAAAUUAAAAUUUUAAAGUAAAAAAUGAUGCACCGGUGCACCGAAAAAAACCCGCUGUGUCCCGAGAGGCAGAGCAGUCGGGACGGUGGCCCGCGUGGCUCGGGUGCCAUGCGGCGCCCAUCCAGUGUCCUCAAAAAAAAAGGAGAAUUAAUGGGUGGAGCCCAACAAGUUGGUACAAAUCGCCAUUAAAUUAAGAUUAAAUAGUUCGGGACCGCUUGCGACACCAUGUCAUGUGGUUAUGAGCUAAUCACAAAAAUAUUUAAGUUUCUCUACUUGUCUCAUAUUUAAAUUUUAUAAUUUUUUUUAUAGGACAUACAAUAACGAAAUAGAUCUGGACCCUGUUAAAGAUAAAAAUAUAUAAACAUUAUUCUCUAAAAGUUUAAGCUUUUAGUAUCGUUUGGUUCGAGGAUAAGCAAAAAGUGACUAUUCCAGGGAUAGGUAUAAAUUGAGGUAUAAGCGGGGAUUAGAUCAAUUUUGCGUUUGGAUGAAAAUUGGAUUAUUUCUGAAAAUAAAUAUAAAUAAUAUGUAUUAAUAUAGUACAAUUAAUAAUUUUAUAAUAAAAAUAAUGUAUUAUAAUAUAUAACAUAUUAUAUUUAUAUAAUUAGUUUUAAUUCAAUUUAUAAUUUUAAUUAAAUUUGAAAUUAAGCAUUAGAAUAGUGCUAUUCCACCAAAAUGGUGGAAUAGCAAAUCCCUUGCUAUUCCGGAAUAACCGGAAAUAGCAAGGUUUGACCGGGAUAAAAUAUCCCGGCCAAAUUUCAUCCCAUUUGGCGGAAUAGCGGGGAUAACUUUUGUUAUCCCCGCUUAUCCCCCAACCAAACGGGGCCUUAAGGAAUUCACAUUGUGAUUGUUUGAUUGAUGGAUGGCCAUUACAUUGAAAUUGGUCUAUGCACUCUGUUUGGUUAAAACUAUUUGAGUAGUUCUCAUCAAGAAUCCCUACACAUUUUUUUUAUUAUAUUCAUUUCCUACUUUUAUUCUAUCUCUCCACACACACACACACACACACACACACACACACACCCCCUUCCCACCACCCCCUCCAAAUUUGGCUGAUAUUAAUGAAAAGGAAUUAUAACUAGUUGAGAGGAGAUUUUCGGCACUUUAGAAAAUAAGUGUGUAUGUUUGCUCUACCGUGUUAAUUUACUGAAAUUACUGUCAUUGUACAGGGUUAUGUGUAAUUCCAGUUGUAAGAACCUUUAGAACACAUCAACUUGUGUCAUACGUUGUUACGCCUUUUUGACAAAACGUAGGAAUAUUAUUUGAGUAGAGGUAUUUGAAGAAGUUGCAAGAUGUGUUUGUUUAGAGUAUUGUAGUUCCAUGGAUAGGAAAUAAGGAUAGUUUAUCCACUAUAAGAGGGCAAAGGGAAUUAUCUAGGCUAAUGGUUCCUUAUGAGAGUAGCAUAACUCCAUUCUAGCGUACAGUUUGAUAUCUCCUACUUAGUUCUAGUUGGGAAUUUAUCAAACUCAAAAGUACUUAACAGGAUAGCAGGGAUAUUGCCAUUAUCUUUCCAACUUGCAAAUGCUGAAUGUAAAUAUACUUGGCAUGGAGUUGAACAAAAAAACUUUUAAGUUAGACCAGCUUUUUAGGGAGCUCUUUUAGUCUUCGCACUAUGCUAGGAGCUCUAGAUUUUUUUUCUGUUUGCUAAACGUCUGACUUUUGCUUCUUGAGUAGAAUAACUUUUUUAGAAGUCAAACCAAUUAGGUAGUAUAUACUUUUGCAUAUGCUAACAAAAGUAUGUAUUCGAAAAAUAUUUGCUGAGCUAACCUGUGACAUUAGGAUGCUAGCACAAGUAUCACUGCUGUAUAUGCUGNCUAAUUCCUACUUAAUUACCAUUAGAAAAUAAAGAAGUGUACCUUAAUUUAUAUGAUUUUACUCCAACCACUUUUCAUCUACUAGCAUGCUCCAGUUCCCAAAUGUGUCCUGAAUUAGAAGACAAUCCAAAAUAUGAAGAGCCCGAGUUCGUUUCUUCAAAAAAUUUUCGGAAUUUUUGUAGAUUUAUUUGCGAAUUUUUCGGACAAAAAAAAUGGCUUAAUCUAAUUUAUUCUUUUUAUUUUUUUGGAAAAAUACGUAAACAGCCGAUUAAUUCGUUUCUUCAAAAAUUCGCGAAUUAUUCGCGAAUUUACUAUCUAAGCCUAUCGCUCUCAAAAACAAAAGAAAAAAAAAGAAUUUUUAUCAGAGCAUGUGUUGCACAACGGGCGGAGGAGUGAUAAGAAAAAUCUCAUAAAUUAUUAAUACUGAUAGUUACAAAUAUCUUUAUUAAAUUAUUAUAAAUAUUACAAAUAUCUUUAUUAAAGCGAUUAGUCUCUAUCCAAAAUAAUCGUGAUAGUUACAAAAUACUUAUUUUAUUAUUGCCUAUUAUAUAUCAUUUGUGUCGCUUAAAUAUUCUAUAGCUGAUAUUCAAAAUUUUUCAAAAAUGCCCUCUAGAUAUUUUAUCAAUAAUUUUCAUCAUCACGCAUACAUCACAUAAAUAAUUUAAAUUUUAAAAUUUAAAAUUAAAAGUAAAAAUUUAAAUUUAAAUUUAAAAUUUGAUAAAGAUCUGAAUUCAAAUUUUAAAUUGAAUUCAAAUUUUGAACUUAAAAUUGCAAGUCAAUUUUAAAUAUAAAUUUAAAUUUGAAAUUCAAAUUCAAAUUUAUAUUUUGAAUUUGAAUUUCAAAAUAAAACUUUGAAAUUAAAAAUAAAACUAAUUCAAAAUCUAGAUUGAAAGUAAAAUUAGUAUAAAAUCUUAAUUCGAUUUCAAUUGAAUUUGAAUUAUAUUCGAAUCCAAAAUCAAAAUUUAAAUUUUAAAUUUAUAAUUAAAAUUAGAUUAAAUUAAUAUUACAAUUCAAUAUUAUAAUGUAAAUUUGAGUGAGUCUAAGAUCGCAGUUUAAAUUGAAAAUUGAAUUAAAAAAUUCUAAUUAUAAAUUUUGGAAAUAUUUAGAGAUAAAAUGAUAUUUUAAAAUUUAAGUAGCAUUAAACUAGCUUCCAACUAAGAUUAGGAUAACACUCCGUGACGUGAGUUUACAUAAGAAAUAUUUAUGAUAUAACUCAUUCUAUUGGAAGAGCGUAUAUGAUAUUUUAAUAUUUUUAGAGGUGCCUGUGAUAGUUUAAGAUUUUGAAAAAUAGUUAUGAAACUGUCCCUGCAUUUCAAAAUUUGGAAAACUGAUCUCCCUGACUUGCGGAUUUCAUGUAGUACAAUUUUUUGACGGUGUUCUUAAUGCAAGUAACAAAUUAUAAGCAACUUUAAAGGAAAAAAAGUUACAUAUUUUUAGGGAUCGUAUUUUGGAAAUUUGAGGAUGAGUUUUUAGUUGUCCAGGUUUCACGCUUUGAUAAAUAAUAUGAUCAGAAGAAUCAUAAAUGGCGAUAGCUUACGUUUACCUACUUUUAUUAGAUAUAUAGUUUAAUAUAUUCUUUUUCCGCAUAAAAUUACUAAUUAAAUAAAACCAAUUGAUGCUCAAACUCUCUCUUCCUAUGGAAUAAAAAUAAAACAUAAAAAAGGAUAAAUUACGCUUUUGGUCCUCAAACUAUAAGAUAUAUGACACUUUAGUCUUCAAACUUUAAUGUGUUAUAAUAACUUAUGGCUCAAAGUAUGAGACACGUGACACUUUAGUCCUUAAAUUUUAAUUAGUUGUAAUUUCUGACUUACACUAAAGUUAAUUAAUUUAUUUAUUUCUACGAAAUCGAUCGGUUUUGUUCAAUCAGUAAUUUUAUUCGAUGUUAAACUAUAUAACAAAUUUUAUAAUGUCUAAUUGUUAAAAUUAAAAAUCGACCAAUCAUAUUUUAAAUAUUAAAAAAAUUAUAGAUGCAAAAUUGAUCUUUGAUCGGAUUGUAAUAUAAUAUUAAACUUUUAUAAUAAAAUCGUAUAAAAUUUGUCUAAACUAUAAACCAUUCUGAAUCAUCUAUUCAACCUUUUAAAAUUUUAUUCUUAUUAUCGAACUAUUCGAUACGUUAGAUUUUAAAAUUUAUAUAUAAAAGGUUUAUAUAUUUUAAAUUUUAUAAUAAAAGCCCGCCACGCCUCUCUCCCCCGGCCCCGCCCCAGCGUCUGCGACGUGGCUCAUAAGAGACAAUUGAAAUUAUUUCGGGGACCAUCCGAGUUAUUUUGCAGCCAAGGUUGGACGUGGAUUAAUGCGGCGAUAACUCAAAUUACCAUUACCAUACUAUAAAUCCGAGCAAGAAAUGUAUGGAACCCCCUGAACUAUAUGCCACUAUGAAAUAGCGCCUUCAAUCUACUUUUGUUUUUUCCCAUUUCGUGUUGAGUGAUUUUGGUGACUCACAGUAAUUAUGAUAAUUUUAUCAUAUUUAAUUUAUUUAGUUUACAUACUACGUACAAUUGGCAGUUUGUGCAACAAUUAAUCUAUUCAGCUUAUUUUAUUCAGCUUGUUUUAUUAUACUAUAUAUGUUGAGUAUCACAACGAUGAUCUUCUAGCUUAUUUUCACGAAACUUUGCAUCGGAAUUUAAUAAUCGUUUUAAAUAUUUUUUAACUUCUUAGAUUACGGUGGUAUUAAAGUGCAUUACCAUAUAUUUUUUUUUUGAGAAAAAAAUUUUAUNCAUUCCGUGCGUCUGUGCUAGCAGUUCUUGGCAUGACUCCAUGCCACUCCAUAAAUCCUUGCUUUUGUUGUUUACAAGGCUAAACUUCAAAAUCGGCACUGUGGUAUAGUGCAUUUUCGCGUUGGUGCACUAUGGAUUCUUUUCUAUCACAUAGGUGCCCUGAGUUUGGUAUUGAAAUUAUUCCUCAAGGACCUUUUUUCUAGCCCUGUUGGUAUUUGUGUGUGUUUCCAGUUCAAAUCGUUGUUGGCUCGGUUUUUUUAAGUCUAAACUCAACCGAGAACCCGAAUGCAAGCCCAUCUUAUAAGGGGUUUCUGAUUAAGUUUGAAUCAGAACACGACCUAAGCCCUGACCUAACACGACCCAACCUGUUUAUAUAUAUAUAUAUAUAUAUAUAUAUAUAUAUAUAUAUAUAUAUAUAUAUUCCAGUCAAUCUAUUUCUAGCAUACUGAGCACUAAUCCCUUCCGAUGCAUCCACUUAUCCCAUGCCAACCUUUCUUGUCCUUUGUUGGAUCGGAGAGUUGCAAUCAAGAGUGGGACAACUUUUCACUCCGUCCGCAAGAGUUGUUGUCGCUGCGCUUGCACCUCAUUUAUUGUUGUUGUAUGAUUGAAAUUAUUUAGGGCAUGUGUGGCACAACAUGAAUAAGAAUAAGAGUUUAUGCACAUAAAUUUAUAUAUAUAUAUAUAUAUAUAUAGAGUCCGGCUACUAUACUCUUAUGAGUAUGAUUGUCCUCGUACUUAUAAGUUGUUUUCGAUGAUAGAGCUUCCGAAUCGACGAUCCAUACUGUUAAAUAUUAUUUAGAGCAUUUAAAACGUAUAGAAAUUAAAUUUUAUAAUUUUUCGAUAUCAUUUACCUUACAAUCAAAAGGUCACAAAAUUGACAAUUUUUAACGGCCGGUAUGAAAUAUUUGUUAGUUAAACAGUAUAAAAGAAUCAAAAUAAGUUGAUUUUUUGAUAGAAAAUUCUAUUCAGUAUAUAGAUAAAGAUCAAUAGCUCCGAUCUUAAAUUGAAGGAUCCGAUCAUAAAUUUUUAAGACGUCGUUCGAUUUUGACAAUUCAUUUUAUACCCGCUUGAUGAACUUUAUUAUGAUUUCAAAAAAUUACGAAAUUUAUUUUCUAGAAAUUUUAAUAAACUAUAUUUAACGGAAUGGAUCGUCGAUUUGGAAGCUACAUCAUUGAAAACAACUUAUGAGUAUGUACGAAGUGUUCUAUACUCAUAAGAGUAUAGUAGCCCUAACAUAUAUAUAUAUAUAUAUAUAUAUAUAUAUAUAUAUAUAUAUAUAUAUAUAUAUAUAAAACUAGGCUGGUAUACUAUCGGUAGCACGGAGGCUGAUAUAUAUAUAUAUAAAAUAGAGCUUCUACAUUUUUAAAAGUACCAAGUUAUUGGUACUUAUAUAUUUUUUGCCAUUGAAAUAAGAGAUAUACGGUUAGAAUGAUGUGGGACCAUUAAAAUUGAGUGGUGGUUGGUUCGGAUGAAAAUAAUCAAAUGUAUAGAUCUAAUAGUAAAAAAUUUACAAGUAUCAAGUGUUUGAUACUUUUAAUGUACCAUAUAUGCAGAUUUCUGAGACGGUAAAAAUUUUGCUUUUGUCUAAAUAAAUGAAAGAUGGAAUGGUUAAUUUGAUUUGAAAUUUUGUUUUUCUCCCGUUCAACUCGUUACGUUCUACUGGUUACAUUCUAUAUAUUUGUAGUGGCGUUGAACCACACCGUACAUGUGAGUAAUUAAGAUACAACCUUAUUUUCUAUAGAUAUCUGAGAUUUGGGUAAAUAGCUCUACAUGUCUCUAAACUUAAAUUAGUUUUUAAACUUGUAAAUUUGGUAUAUAUUUAAGACCGGACUGUUUGAAUUAUAUCAUUCUAGUCCUUAUUCUGAAUAAAAAAAAACAAAAAGCGGUAAACUAUAGUAAAACCUUCCAGUACUGCAUGUAUCAGUUAACACCCUCAAUUUAAUUUUAAAUAUGUUGAAUGGGGAAAUUAAUUGCACUACUAAUUAAUUUCCAAACUUCUAUUUUAGUCCUCAAUUUUUAAGUUUCACAAUAUUUGGGACUCAUUGAAUGUUUCAUUCUAGCACUUAGUUAAAAAACUAAAAAAUAAAAAAAUAUAAGAGAGAAAGAGAAAAGCUAAAUUUGUAGAAAACCUCGCCCCUUUCAUAUGUUAGAUUUUAUACUUUAUUUUCUUCAAAUUAUCAGGCCAAAUCAUUCUGUACCGACUAAGAUUUGAUAUUAGAACCACUCACCCAAUCAUAAAAUAAGAAGCGAAAAAAGCUCUAUUAUCGUGUUAAAGAACUAGAAUAUAAUCUAAAAACUCAAACGGAGUGGUAAAAAUAACCUUCACAUUAUGUAUACUAUUUUAUUUUUAUCUAAAAAGAAUCUAAACACAAGUACUCUAAUAAUAUAAUUUUGUAUUUUGUAUUUCAAUUAUAUGCACUUUCUCUAUAUAUUGACCCUCACAUUACCCCAUAGAUAUUCAAAACAAAUAAAUCUACAAAAAUAUUAUUUUUGAGACAUUUUCCUAUCAUAAUGUUGUACUAGUGUAGAGACCCGCGCGAUACAGCGGGUAGAUAAUAGAAUCAAAACUUAAAAAUUUUAAUAAAAUUUAUAUUUAUAGUUUAUUAAAUUCAACUAUUAAAAAAAUAAAAUUAUAGCUUAUAACCCACACAUUGAUAAAAUAUUAAUAUGAUGCAUGUAAUUAAAUGUUGCACUUUACAUGUAAUUAGAGAAGUGGAGAGGUGAAGAGUUGGACGUUGAGAAGAGAAAAUAAUUUGAUUUAAAAUUGGGCUAUGAGAAUAAAGAAUAACAUAUGGCAAAAAAAAAAUUUUUAUGGUACAUGCAAAAGAGUUACAAAAAAGAGGGCUGAGAGAUUAAUGGAGAAGAGAAGUUGAUUAAAGUUAUAAAUCUCACUCGAUGAUAGAAUAUUAAUAUGGUGCAUAUAAUUAAAUCUUGUUACUUACAUGUAAUUAGAGGAGUGGAAAGGUAAAGAAUUGGGCGUUGAGAAAAGGAGAAGAUGAUUUAAUUUAAAGUUGAGUUAUGAAAACGAAAGCUAACAUGCCACGUGGCAAAAAAAAAUACAAAACUGUAACUUCAUAAAGAUUUAUUUAUAGAUUUAUAGAUGUGCACGUGCGUGACUUUUCAAAUUGUGUUGGACCAUCCCAAUUAUUUUGCAAACAACGUAUUCAAUGCGGUGACAACUCAAAUUUAAUUAUUGGAGCAAGAAAAUGUAUGGAAACCCCUAAACUAUAAGCGACUUUGAAAUAGCUCCUUUAAUCUGGUUUAAUUCUAUCGACUGUUUCUAGAGCAAAUGGUCGGUAUCCGAGACUCAAGUUCGAAUUCUAGUUGAUUCACAUUUCUAGCUAAGUUUAUUUCAAAAUGAAAUAAACGAAGCGGGUAACAUGCUAUCUUUCUCUCAAAAAAAAAAAAAAAAAUCUGGUUUAAUUCUCCCUCGCUGCCAUAUUUUAUAUUAGCUUAUGGUGUUGAGUCAAUGCUUUGAGGUGUCGCUAAUAUGUUUGUAUUCUCUCUUAAAUACGUAAUUAAUGCAAGAGAUAAACUACACCCCACUCAAGUUUUUUUUUUCCAUUCUAAUUAGCUGUCAAAGAUUAAUUAAAUAUAUGGACAGUUGAAAGAAACAUUUCUCUGCUUUUCUAUUUUUUCUAAAUCUCUUACAUUUUCUCUUAUAGAUAUACGCAUGUUACGAUAGUCUUUAUAGUUCCAGUUCUAUCACUGUAACAAAAUAUAUUUUAAAUAAUAUUUUUUAGACAACGCUCUAUUAUAAUAUCUUCAAUAUUUGGUAUAUAUCAACAGUAUGACUAAAUAUUGUUAAUAAAUAUAUUUUUAUUAAAAUACUGAUAAAUUUUUCGACGCUAUAUUAAAGCGUCUGUAUAUAUAUCCCAACAUAUUUACUUAACGACUCUUUAUUCGAUAUUUUUACAGGUGUCGAGAUUAUUCUUACUGAUGCUUUAAAAACGAUCUCGAAUUUUUGUAAGUAGUAUUUCGUGAUGGACUAUUGAUGCAUAUAAAAAAAAAUUAUGUGGUUUGAUACUUUAGUUUAAAUCUAUAGAUGAAGAUGGAGCGAAAAUUUUAUUAUAGCCAAAAGUGCAGAAGAUAAGAUUUAUGCCCAUUGUUCACCCUUAUCUUGACCACAUGUUGCGGUCUAGGUUCUGGGGUGAAGAAGAUCUGCAUUAUUGCGCUUAUGUAUGUACUAUUUUCUUGACAAUUUGGGCAAUAGAAUUAAGCUCGUAUGUUUUUAAUAGUGUAAGUUAUUGAUGUUUGUAAAUUUUCGAUCUUUGAGUUAAGGGAUGUGCGGUUUGAAUGAAAAUAAUCUUCUUAGGUUGAUUGGAUAGUUGGUUGAAUAGUAUAUAUGCUCUAACGAGUAAAAAUAGUUAAAAGGAUAAAUCUAACGGCAGAAAACUUAUAAGCACUAAGUACUUGCUACUUUUGAAAACAUCAUAGUCGGACUCUCGAGCAAUAUUAGUUUUUAUAAACCGAUGAAAAAUAGAUUUAAGUAAUUGAUACCGUAAAUUUGAAAUUGUAGAUGUCGUGUAGCUUUUCCAGUUUAUAUAGUUUGCUCAGUAUAUAUUUAUCGUUUAGUUUAUGAAUUCCAUUUUUGUCUACUUCAAUAUCAAUCGAUUAUCAUAUUAUUCAUAAAUAAAAAUGGUGAAUAAAAAAGUGAAAUUGUAUCGUGCAAUUUGUGAAUAUAUAUUUUUAAUUUACCUUCUUUAAAUUAGUAUAAUUAUUUUAUUUAAUAUUUGUACAAUUUAAUUACUUUCAAUUAAAUAUAUUUUGUUUGCUAUGCAUUAAUUUUACUGCUUUAUGAAAUUUUAAAGGUAAAAAUAUAUGGUUUAAUAAAAAAGGAUUGAUGAUUUGCAAUGGGCAAGGUAGAAAUAAUUUUAAAAGAGUUGUCACUAAUCUUAAUAUUUUGAAUAAUUUUUUUAAAAUUAGGUAAAUAUAUUUUUUUGGCAUUAUUAUUUUAGAAACGCUUCUAUGUAUAUUAUGUGACUGAGGAUCAGAAGGAAAAAUUUUAGAAUGCAACUGGUAUAUUGGUGACGUGGCGUAACAAACUAAUCAAAUAUCUGGUAUAUUGGUGACGUGGCGUAACAAACUAAUCAAAUAUCUCCUUUUAGAAGUAUAUAUGUUCCAUCAUGAUUGUAAAAAAAUAUCGAUUAGAAGAGGGUACGUAGUUUCGGGACCACCUCCAUAUUGGUUAUAAGAUUGGAAUUAUUGGCACAUGCACGUGUUACGUGUACGUAGCUCGAUCGGAAUAUAUAUAUAUAUAUAUAGAACAAUAAUACAUAAUUAGCAGUAUGGCACUAUUAGGUAAUAAAUAAUAUGAAGUAACGACGAAAUUAAGCGUGCUUAUAUGGAUAUGCUUCAGCAUUAAUUUUUCAAAUGGGACCGCAAAUUAUGAUGCAUGUAUUAUCUGCUUCAAACCUCUUCAUCAUCAAAUCAUCUGCUUCGCCGAGAGAAGCCAACGACGAAGCCCACAUCACAGAAAGAAACAAAAAAAGAAACAAUACUUGGUACUUGGAAGCCAUAGCUCACACUUACGACUAGUUUUGUUGCUGAGAGUAAGGUUCUCCGCAUCGAGUUUAUGUACAAGUUCUCGACCUACUAAUUAAAGUUGCUGGACCAUUAAUGGACGUGAGAGGUCAAUUAUUCGGGGCUAUUAUUAUUAUUAUUAUUAUACGAUAUCAUUAUUGGCGGCAAUUUGCACCGCUGGUCACUGAGCCCUAAUAGCUACAUUUGGUUUGGGAACAAAUUUUGAGUAAUAAUUCGUUUAUCGUUCCACCAACAAACGAUAUUUGGGAAUUAUCUAGAAUAAGCACUAAAUUACAUUUGGAUGCUGUUUAUUGAGUUGAGUUGAAAUGCUAUUAAUAGUCUUUAAAUUUUUUUACUAUCGAUUUUUUAAUUCUUAGAUUUAUAUUUUAAUUAAUUUCUUAUUUAGGUCAUGCUAUUGAAUUUUAUAGGGAUAUAUUUAUAAUUAGUUAUGUUUACAAAAAACUAUACGUAAUUAACCCUAAAUUUAAUUAAAUUUUAAUUUUAAAAUUUUUUUAGAGGAAAAGACACAGUUUUCAGUUUCGUUCAUUUUGUGGUUUUUGUUUUUUUUUAUUUUUAAAGUAAAAUCUUAUUAUGUAGAGAGUUGGUGCUAAUGUGCAUGUGAUGAAAUUUCAUUAAUUGAUUUCUCUCUUCCGUUGUUCGAUCGGAAUGCCGCAAUCAUGAGAGGGACAGCAUUCCAGUGCUCCAUACGCCAGAGUUAUUGUGGCUGAGCUUGCACCUCUAUGUGGGACAAAAAUUUUGCGGGCACCAUCCCUAAAUUAAUAAUUUGGGGACCGUGCAAAUGGGUGUCACGUGAUUGGUUCGACGGAUGCCAAUUUUUACUAUUUUUUAUCUCUCUUUAGAAAAAUAGUAUAAUUUUUUUUUUUUUUUUCAUUGAUGGCAGUCGGAUGGACCACGUGACGCCCAUCCGCAUGGUCCCUCUAUGUGUUGUCCUUGUAUGAUUGAUGAUUGAUAGUACAACAUGUCUGGCACAACAGAAUAAGAAUAAGAGCCGCACGUAAAUUUAAAAUGAUAUAUGUAAAUUAACAAAUAUUAUUAUUGUUUAGAAUAGGUGUUUCUUUUUUUUAAGAGGGAACUCACCAAAAAUAGAAAAUUUUCUAGAUAAUGGCCGUUCCCUGAUACGUCAAUGUAUUGAAGGUGUUUUCGAUAAUAAAAUUGAGAUCUAGUAAAGUACAUUUACUGAAUAUAUAUGAGCGACGAUUUGUGAUAAUUUAUCUCUUCCUUCAAAAUCGUGUAGAAAUUAGAUAGAUUUUCUUUUAAUCGAACCGCUUCCGUAUUGAUCUAUAUAUAUAUAAUGUGAUUUGAAUACUCAUAAAAGGGGAUGGUGUACCAUUGCCCACUUUUAACAUGCACAAGACAUAGACUAUAAGUAAAAUUUACUUUUGUCUAAAUAAACGAAAGAUGAAAUAAUUAAUUUGAUUUGAUUUGAAAUUUAUAGUGGUGUUGGACCACAACAUACAUCUGAGUAAUUUAGAUACGACCUUAUUUUCUGUAGAUAUAUGAGAUUCGGUUAAAUUGCACUACAUGUCUCUGAACUUAAAUUUAAUUUUCAAAAAUUUGAUAUAUAUUUAAGACCGGACUUUUUGAAUUAUAUCAUUCUAGUCCUUAUUCUGAAUAAAAAAUGGGGUUAAAUUAUAGUCAAACUUUUCCCUGCAUGUGUCAGUUUACACCCUCAAUUUUUAAAUAUGUUGAAUGGGUAAAUUGCACUACUACUUCCCAAACUUCUAUUUUAGUCGUCAAUUUUUAAGUUUCGCAAUAUUUAGGACUCGUUGAAUGUAUCAUUCUAGCCCUUAGUUCAAAAAAAUAAAAAAUAAAAAAUAAAAAACUAUCGGAGAGAAAGAGAAAAGCUAAAUUUGUAGAAAACCUCCAUACAAAAGUUGUAUUUUACACUUUAUUUUCUUCAAUAUUUAAACUAUCAGGCAAAAUUAUUAUAUACCGACUAAGAUUUUAUAUUACAAUCACUCGCCCAAUCAUAUAUUAAGAAGCGGAAAAAGAUCUAAUAUGGUGUUAAUUAAAGAACUUGAAUCUUAUCCAAAAUAAGCGGUAAAGAUAGAUAACCUUCACAUUAGGUGUACUAUUUUAUUUUUAUCUAGUAAGAAACUAUACACAAGUACUCUAAUAAUAUAAUGUCUUUUCUAUUUCAAUUAUAUGUACUUUCCAUAUUGAACCUCACAUUACUUCAUAAAUAUUCAAAACAAAUAAAUCUAAAAAAAAAUUUCUCAAAAAACAAUAUAAAAAAAUAUUAUUAUUGAGAUAUUUUCGUAUCAUAAAGUUGCAUGUGAAUGUGCAGGACUUUUCAAAUUGUCUCGGGGGCCAUCCCAAUUAUUUUGCUGCCAACGUAUUCAAUGCGGUGACAACCGACAUUUAAUUAUUGGAGCAAAAAAAUGUAAGGAAACCCCUAAACUAUAAGCCUCUUUGAAAUAGCUCCUUCAAUCUAGUUUUUCUCUCAUUGCCCUCUUUUAUAUUAGUUUAGAGUGUGUUUGGUUCCACCUAAAAUUAUUUCAAUUUUUUUUUGGCAGUUGAAAAGUAAAUUCUCGAUGUUUGAUUGUUUGCAAAAAAAAUUUCUCAAUUUUUUUUUUUUACAGAUUCAAUAGAACUGGAGGAUUUUGUUCUCUGCUUGUUUCGAGAGGAAAACGAAAACUUCAGCCGCGAAAAUACGUGGCGUUUCGGAAAGGCGGGGAUGUGUAUCACGUGGUCCAAAAGGUGACCUCCACCUCGUGGACUGCAUGAGAGUCUCUCCCCCUUUUCUUAUAUAUAUAUAGAGUCCGGCAGCUAUACUCUAAUUAUGAGAACGAUCGCCCUCCUACUCAUAAGUCGUUUUCGAUAAUAGAGUUUCCGAAUCGACAAUCCAUACCGUUAAACAUUAUCUACAGUAUUUAAAACUUCUAGAAAUCAAAUUCUAUAGUAGGUCUUGUGUGCUUUUAGAAGUACAAGGCCUUCAUACUGCUAAACCGUUUUCGAUGAUAGAGAUUCUAAAUUAACGAUCGAUUCCGUUAGACUUGAUUUAGCAUAUUUGAAAUAUCUAAAAAAUAAAUUUUACGAUUUUUCGAUAUCAUUUAUCUAACGAUCAAAAGAGUUCAAAAUCAACGGUUGAAAAUAAAAAUCUCACAAAAAGCGGUGAUAUGGACACUAAAAUUUUUGAUUAGAGAUAUUGAUCUUGCUAUAAAUAGUAUAAAUAAUUUUUUAUAAAAAUUUUAUCUGAUUUGAAUAAUUAUACACGGUUAAAUUUGCAAACAGUAUAUAUAUAUCAACAAUUAACAAUUAUUAAUUUUGAUCCCUUUCGAUCAUUAAGUAAAUGAUAUUAAAAAAUCACAAAAUUUAUUUUCUAAAUAUUUUAAAUACGCUAGAUCAAGUUUAACGGAGCUGAUCGUUAAUUCAAAAGCUCCAUCAUCAAAAAUAGUUUAGAAGCACAGAGGCUCGAUCCGUGCUUCUAAUAGCGUAGUUGAAAUAUUCAAAAACUCCAUCAUCAAUGAUCGGUGCGAAUUAAGGAAGAAAAAAUUCAACUUAUCUUACAAAAUUAUUUUGGGAAAUCCUCGCUGCACAAUUAGGCGAAUCCUAUGCCCAAAUGAACAUCAAGAGAUUGAUAAAAAAAAGGGAGAGCAAAGAAAUGGGUUUAAAAAAACACAAGGAGGGCCCCAAUCCACCUCUCCUCCACCCAAAUAAAUGUACGCGGUACCGCCACGUUGGAUUAAACUGUGAUUUUAUAAAUUUUUAUUAUAGAAGAUGUUAUCAACAAAAAAUUUUAAUUCUUAUAUUUUUUUAUAUAUAAAGUGAAAAUUUUUAUUUUAGUUUAUUUUAAUAUCUUUUCUGUGAAACAAUCGUUGUACUCUAAAAACUUAAAUUGUUAGAGAACGAUGUUUAAACAUUUUUUAUAUUUAACACUCCCCCUCACGUCUGGGCUUGAGACUUUUUAGUCGGCCCAUGACGUGAGCUUGAAUUAAAUGGGAGGAAAUUAAUAUGUUAGGAGUCUGGCGUGACUCCAACUCAAGACCUCCUGCUCUGAUUUAGAUGUGAAACAACUGUUGUACUCUAAAAGCUUAAACUGUUAGAGAACGGUGCUUAAACAUUUUUCAUAUUUAACACUCCCCCUCACGUCUGGGCUCGAGACUUUUUAGUCGGCCCAUGACGUGGGCUUGAAUUAAAUGGGAGUAAAUUAAUAUGCUAGGAGCCUGGCGUGACUCGAACUCAGGACCUCCUGCUCUGAUACCAUGUGAAACAUCCGUUGUACCCUAAAAGCUUAAGCUGUUAGAGAACGGUGUUUAAACAUUUUUUAUAUUUAACAUUUUCCUGCAUUUGAUUCAAAAUUUAUUACAAACUAAUAGGUUGAUGAUGUCUUCUGUUUUUAUUUAAUAUCUAAAUUUGAGGGCAGUGAGUACCCCAAUUUAAUUUUUUUAAUUCAAUAUCAUUUGAUUAUCAAAUUAUUCAUAAAUAAAAAUGGUGAAUAAAAAGUGAAAUUGUAUCGUACAAUUUGUGAAUAUAUAUUUUUAGUUUACCUUGUUUAAAUUAGUAUGAUUGUUUUAUUUAAUAUUUGUACAAUUUAAUUACGUUCAAUUAACUAUAUUUUGUUUGCUAUGCAUUUUACUGCAUUUAUGAAAUUUUAAAGGUAAAAAUUUAUAGUUUAAUCAAAAAGUAUUGAUGAUUGGCAUUGGGCAACGUAGAAAUUUUGAAAGAGUUGUCACUAAUCUUAAUAUUUUGAAUAAUUUUUUUUCAAAUUAGCUAAAUAUUUUUGGCAUUAUUAUUUUAGAAAAGCUUCUAUGUAUAUAAUGUGACAAAGGAUUAGAAGAGGGUACGUAGAUAUGAUGUUAUUCCUAGGUAAUACACUAAUUACCUUAACUCUUUGAAUGGUUCAUAAGGCGGAAACAUUUUGAUAAUUAAUAUAAAGGGUACAACUCGAUCUUUCUUUCUUUUUUUUUCUUUUUUUUCUUUUUUUUUUUUUGAGAAAAGGUAGUGAAGCUACCUGCUUCAUUCAUUAGGCUAAAUAAACUAAGCAUAUAUGAUUGAGGCAACUAAGGCCUCCGGAAGGGUCUUGAAGAAAAACAAAAUAAAUGGAAAAAAAAGGAAAAAAAAGAAAAAAGACAAAAAAGUAGACAACAGUGAAUAAACCUUACUAAAAACGGUCGUCCCAAUAAGGUACCAAAACAGGGUGCGCGGUCGAGUCAAAGUGCGUCAGCCCAGUCUUUGAUCAAGUAAGUGACACGUUCGAUGGCCCGGGCAGCGUUAGAACGUGUAUCGCGAAAAAUAAUAUUAUUACGUUCCGUCCAUACCACCAACCAGAUUGCCUCUAGAUGAGCCCGGCUUUGACUCGAUCAUUACUAGGCUUUGACUCGAUCAUUACUCCGGUACAUUCUAGUUUUGUAUACUCCAGCUCCGAGGAGAACACAACGCUCGUUUCCGAGAUGCAGAACAAAUUAAACAGAUGCUGUAGCAUCAUGUCACGUUUCAAAUUGUUUCGUGACCACCUCAAUAUAUGUUCACUUUUUUGUACACAUGGUUACUGCAGAUUGAACCAGCACGUGACCGAUACGUACGUUUAGUCCCCAUUAAGAUUGGAAUUAUUGGCACAUGCACGUGUUAGGUGUACGUAGCUCGAUCGGAAUAUAGAACAAUAAUACAUAAUUAGUAUGGCACUAUUAGGUAAUAAAUAACAUGAAGUAACGACGAAAGCAAGCUUAUAUGGAUAUGUUUCAGCACUUUUCAAAUGGGAUGGCAAAUUAUGAUGUACGAAAUAUAUUAUUACAUACAAAAAUAAAUAAAAUAUUUAUUUAUCAUAUUUUUUCUUUACAGGUGGCACAAUCUUUCAAUAAUUUCAAACAAAGCGUUAGUGUAUUAGAAUUUUAAUUCUUGAAUGAGAAAUUGUUGGAUUAAAAUGAUAUUAGUAUCUUAGAGUUGAGUGAUUCCUCUAAAGUUGAGUGGUUCCUACUGAAUUAUAAUAUUUAAUUCAAUAAUUUAAAAUAAUAAAAAGAAUUGAUCCAAAAAACCUAUAGCAAAAAUGGCCUUUUGGUAUCAAUAGUAUUCUAUCCCAUCUCUCUCUCUCUCUCUCUCUCUCUUUCUCUCUCUCUCUCUAUAUAUAUAUAUAUAUAUAUAUAUGAAUCAGGCUGGGAUACUAUCAAUAGGACCAAGCGUUUAGUGCUAUCAAGUUUUUCACUGUUAGAUUUAACUCUUUGACUAUUUUUAUCUGUUAGAUUAUACUAUUAAACCGAUAACUUAUUCAACCCUAGGAGGCCCACAUUAUUUUAACCGUAUAUUUUUUCAUCCAAGGACCGAAAAUCUAAUAGCACCAAUAGUUUGGUGCUAUUGAUAAUAUUCCAGCCUAGUUCUAUAUGCACACACAGGUCUUGUGUGCUAUUAGGAGCACAGAAGUCUUCGUGCUCCUAAGUCAUUUUUUAUGAUGAAGUUUUUGAAUCGACGAUCGAUUCCAUUAGACUUGAUUUAUCUAUUUAAAAUAUUUAGAAAAUAAAUUUUAAAGAAAGCGCUAGUGGAUUAGCAUUUAGCGAGUUAGAUUUCAAUUUCUUACCUCACAUGUAGUGUGUGGGCUUAGAUUUCAACUUCUUACCUCACAUCUAGUGUGUGGGCAUGUACGUAAUUGCACCGCACAGAGCAAUAUAGAUGCACAAUUCUAUUAACUGCUACAGGCUUUACAUACCAUUACUUGAUGAUCUUAUUCGGAUAAAAAUUUGCUAGGCAUCAUCCCCAAAUUAUAAGUUGGGGGACGAUGCGGAUGUGUGCCGCAUCGCCCUUCCGACACGCGCCCAUGGAAGGAAAAAAAAAAAAUGGCGCCCUGUGUUUAUAUAGAGAGAGAGAGUGAGAGAGAGAGAGAGAGCAGAGGGAGGGAGGAGAGUGAUCGUCGGAUGGGUCAGGCGGCGCCCAUCUGUAUCAUCUAGUUUGGAGACCAUGCCCAGCAACUUUUUGUCCAACUUACUCAUCAAAACAGCAUAAACUUACAAAAUUAAAUACAAACAGUUGGCUACUAAAUAUAUAUUAGGCAGCCAGUGGAACUGAUAAUAAUGCAACAAAAAUACAAAUGAAAACAGCAAGCCCUACUCGAUCAUACAGAUAAUCUUCGCACGAGCAUCGCCCGAUUUAUUACAUAGCUUAUAAGGUACGUAGCACACAGGGCACUUCAUUGCAUGCUAAAUCGCAGCUUCGAUAACCCUUACAUGGAGCUGACACGAUCAUCCGAACCCAUGUCAGAGGGUUCUGUAAUGCGCGGUGACGAAACAAGAGUCGGGUAAAUACCAUAGCUAGCCAGACCACAUAAUCCAGGAUAUGCCGUGUCUCUUAACAUCCUCACGUAUCCAUUUUCUCCCCACCUGUUGCCCCAUGAAUUCUUUAUUAUCCAAUACUUGUCUCCGGUGCUGCUGUCCUGCCCGUAACCUACGACGGUAACGGCAUGGAAAAUAUUUGUCCCACAAGGUCCUUUAAAGAUACCGCCAUUGUAGUAAUUGAAGUAAUAAGAGCUAGCAUCAAUAGCAAUAACUGUCGGCUGGUUCGCCACAGCAUACAUGAUCGCGCGUUCAUCGUAGCUAGGUUGUACAUAUUGAUAGCCGGUAAUAUAAGCUGCAUUCGGUUUGUUAUUUCUGCAAGUGCCUUUGUAUCCUACAUAGGGAUAGUUCGCCUCCGUCGUCACGCCCUUGUUAGCGAUGAUAAAUUCGUAGGCUUUGUGUACCCAACCAGAUGUGCACGCGUUGCUAACAGUACAAUCUAAAACUUCUUGCUCCGAUAGAGAUAUUAGUUGCCCUGUUUUAAUCUUGUAGAUGCCUUCUACCGUCGCGAUUGAAGAGAAUGCCCAGCAAGAACCUAUUUCAAAACAUAUAUUCAAGUUAGCACAACUCGUACAAGCAAAAGUUACGUAGAUUGUUAAUUAAGAUGUAAGAAGAACAUUCAAACAAGUAUGGACAAGGUCAAACAGAUGAUUACUGUGUUACUUUAUGCUUACUUGAGUGAAAAUGAUUAAUGUUGUCAUACUUCUUGUCGGAAAUUAAUUUUUCUAAAAACUUAAUUAAACUACUGAAGAACGAUUUCUAAUUAUUAAGAAUUAAUACUUCUUAUUAUGUCUAAUCUACAAAUGUACAUAUAGUAGGUGAUAACAUGUGUUCGUACACUUUUAGCUAGUCUGAGACAUGAACUUUGCAUUCAAAUGCGGUGGAGGUUUGGUUCUUUUGUCCACAUAAAUGGCUAAUGGAAUGGUGAGAUUUGGGCCCAAGGCAUCCUAUUCUCAUGAGGUUAAUUAAAAAAAUAACAUUUAUUAAGGUUCAGGCUGCUAUAGCUAGAAAUUAAUGCGCUUUAGUUCUCUAAACUCUACACUUGGUUCUUACCGCAAGUUCCUUGAUUCUUGACUGGUGUUACGGCACCGUAAUCCCUCCAAUCAAUGCUUUGAGGUAUCGCGGACAUGUUUACAUCCUCAAACGACACCGAUGGCUCUAAAUUUGUCAUAUUUAGAGGGAGAGAUAGACCGACAUGCUGAGCCACGAUUUCAUCAUUUGUCAUGUCAGCGAAUUGAUUAAUGCCCAGAGUAUACGAGUUGCCGCCGCGCCUGUUGAAGGCUUCAAUGCGGUUCACAUUGUCCUUAAAGAUCUCAAAACGGCGCAUCUUCUCAGCAUCGUCACUGUAAACUCGGCCGAAAUCGGCCAUCCAUUCAUCAAACCUCUUCAUCAUCGAAUCAUCUGCUUCACCGCGAGAAGCCAACGGCGAAGCCCACAGCACAGAAAGAAACAGAAAGAGAAACAAUACUUGGAAUCUGGAAGCCAUAGCUCUGACUUACAAAUGCUUUUUUUGCUGAGAGUAAGGCUCUCCUCAUCGAGUUUAUAUAGUAGUUCUCGGCCUAUGUACGUACUAAAGUUGCUGGACCAUUAUUGGACGAGAGGUCCAUUAUUGGGGGCUAUUAUACGAGAUCAUUAUUGGCGGCAAUAAUAGCUUCAUUUGGUUUGAGAACAAUUUUUGAGUAAUAAUUUUUUAUCGUUCCAGUAACAAAUGGUAUUCCGGAAUUACAUUUCGAUACUGUUUAUUUUGUUGAGCUGGAAUACUCUAUAUUAAUAGUAUUUAAAUUUUUUCGCUAUUAUUUUUUUAACCGUAAGAUCUAUAUUUUAAUUAAUUCCACCAUUUAAAUUAUACUAUUCAAAUAGCUACCCAUUCAAUGCUAAGAAGGACCACGAUCAUUCUAAUUCUAUAACUUUUCAUCAAAAAAUUAGAUAAUCGAUAGUAAAAUAGUCAAAUACUAAUAAUAAUAUUUCAGCUCAAUUCUUAUUUAUUUGUUCUGAAAUGAUAUUAUUUUUUUUUUUUUAGUGAGAAAGGUAGCACGAUACCCGCUUCAUUCAACAGAACGAUGAAUUAGGCUACAAGAGUGGGGCAGCCAAGCCCCGGGCGAAGGCGCAAACAAAAAAUAAAAAAAAAAAAAACAACAACAACGCACGCACACACUUAGGAGAGAGGAAAGAAUCCCACUCCGACACUAAUAGCUUGAGCCUCUGGACAGCUAACCCCGGAUUUGGUUGGCAAUUCCUGAAUAUCCAAUUGUUCCUCACCUUUCAAAUAGUCCACCAGCAGCCUGCCAGAUCAGUAAGUCUGGUUCUCUUCUUGUGCUGAUCCUUUCUAUCCGACCACUUUUCCCAGACGAGUUCCACGUCGUCCCCCAGGUCCUGGGCCUAGAUAUCGUCCACCUCUGAAACUAUGAUGAACUUGGUAAAUAUGCACCUACUGAACAAGUGAUCCACGGUUUCCACUUCCGCCCCACAAAGUACACAGGUAGGGUCGUCCGCCAGCCCUCUCAAAACUAGUUUAUCACGAGUAAGAUUCCUUUUCUUGAGUACCAACCAACAAAAUACUUUGUUUUUCAAAAGGAUUUUCAGGUUCCAGAUCCUGGAUACGCGUACAUCUCUCACACUCUCAAAAACACCAUGAGGUUAGUGCUUUUGAUAUUAUUAGUAUGUGGAUAUUUUAUGUUUGAAUAAGGUAUUGAAAUGAUUAAAAAUGUAUGAAAUAUCAGUUUUGCCCUUAUAUAUAUAUAAUAAUCAAAAUAAGAGUUGAGCUAGAAUACUCUCAAAAGCACCAUGAGGUUAGUGCUUUUGAGUUUUUAACUCUUGGAUGAAAAAAUGUAAGAUUGGGAUGAUGGUAGUAGGUGGUGGUAGGUGGAAUAGUGUUUGAUCUAAGGGCUAUUAGUAAUCAAUGAAUAGACUUAAGGGCUAGAAACCUAAAAGCAUCAAGGGGGUGAUACUUCUAAAAGUAUUCUAGCUCAAUUCAUGAAAAUAAACAUAAAUUAUUAAAAAGCUAAAAAUAUUAUAUUUGUCUCGAUUAUCAAAUUAAAUAUUAAUUUUUUUUAGAGAGAUAGAUAGCACGCUACCCGCUUCGUUUAUUUCCUCUAUAAAUAAACUUAGCUAGAAAUAUAAAUCAACUAGGAUUCGAACUUGGAUCUCGGAUACCAACCACCAAGCCCUUUGCCACUUGUUCUAGGGACGAUCAAUAUCUUUUAAAUGUGAAUCAAAUUUUAAAUAUUAAUUAAUUAUAAUUUAGAAAUAAACUUAGCUAGAAAUAUGAAUCAAAUUAAAUAUUAAUUAAUUACAAUUUAGGUACUUUUUUUUCUCCCUAAAGAAAAACUAGAAGCAAAUUAUUAGCAAAGAAAACACCAUUUUUUGAAUAGAAAAUAAAAAUAAUUCCCACAAUAAAUAAAAAUUAAUUCUCAACCAAAAAAUAAAUUGAUUAAUUUGGAAGAACGAGCUCGGCGACGGAGGCGUUGUUCUCAAAAGUUAGAUCUCCCUGGUGGGAGAACCAAGCUUAACGAGUUAUUAAGAUAUAAUUCGUAAAGUCCUCUACAAGAUCAGCUUUCAAUUCUCUCUUUUUUUUUUUCUUUUUUUUUUCUUUUUUCCUAUAAGUUUAAGAAUAUCUUCCUCGUUCCGGAAAUAUUCCCGAAACAAACUCUUAGUCUCUCUAUUUCAUCAUGAUGCCAUAUGAAUGCAAUGUAUAACCCCGAACCAAACACGGGCUAAAUUUACUACCAUAUAUGUGUUUAGUUCUAUCUUUUAUUUAAAGAUUAUAAUUUUUUUCUUUCUGUAGUUAAAACAAAUUUUACAUGUCUCAUGAUUUCCUACAAGUUGUAAAGGGCUAAGUGGUUGGUACCCGAGGUUCCAAAUUUGAGUCCUAAUUAAUUCACAUUUUAAGUUAAGUUUAUUUCUAAAUAAAAUAAACGAAGCGGGUACUACUUAUCUCUAUAAAAAAAAACUAUUUUGUCGAAAUAUAUUAUAAAGUCACCUGUUAAUGCAGCUAAAAAUAUUCCCAACAUUCAAUGGAUGAUAUAUAGGUAUAGCGUUGUUAAAAGGAGCUUUUUAUCUGAUAAAUGAUCGAGUUGAAUAUAUUUGCUCAUCAAAUUUUAAUAGACGCAAGGCAUAGUCUAUAAAUGUAUAGCCUAUAAAUGUAGUUUAGUAAAAGUAAAAUUACUUUUGUCCAAAUAAAUAGAUGGAACUAUAAGAUUUGAUUUUUUUUUUUUUUUUCUUACUGGGUUCGUUCUAUUUAUGGCCGCAUAGGACCGUACCACGAUAUUCUUGUUGGUUAUUCAGAUCCAACAUUAUUUGUUGUAUAUAUUUAAUAAUUGGAUAAAUUACACUACUGGUCUCUAAGAGGUAGUGAAUUUGCAACCCACCUUAAUAUCGCUUGUUGUGAAUAGAGUAUUCACUUUUAUAACAAUUGUUAAGAUUUCAUAAUGAGAGCAUUAAAGCGAAUAUUUACUAUAAAUCCAUUUUUUCAGCAAAAACUGAUCUUAGUAGUCCAAGAAAAGAGAGAAAAAAAAUCAAAUAAAAAUAAAAGUGAAAUAAUAUUCACUAACUAAAAGUGUAGAACGCAGGGGAAGUAUUCGUUUAUACCUUUUUGCGGAAGUGAUUCGCGCUACAAUGCGACGAGUCCGGAUUAUAGAGGUUGAUUCAUGUAUCCUUGGAUCGUCCUUACAGGUCUUCUAAUGUUCCAAACUCGCGGUGGAUCGAACUACAAACGAGCACGAUCGCAAAUCCACCGUUUAAGACCCUCUAGAAUAGUUGGUUAAUGGAGAAUGUGGUUUUUAUGUUUUUUUCUACGUUUUUCUCUUAGUUUUCUUAUUCUCUUUCUUAUUCUCUUGUUCUUAUUUUUAAUGUGAGAUCACCCGCAUAUUUAUAAGAGUUUCCAAAAUCCUAAUAGGUGCGUAAGAGAUAAGACCAAAUCGGCUAUUAAUUGAUAUCCUAAUAUGAUUAGAAUUUAUUUUUAAUUAGCUUUUCAAUUUAAAAGCGAGAUUAAUUCUAAUCCAGUUAGACAAUAUAAUAACUGUCGGAUCGAGUCCGAUCAUGGAUGCACCCAAUUCGAUUUAAUCGGAUGCCAACAAAAAAAAUAAUUAUAUCCUACUCUUCUGCGCGGAGUAAUUUCAAUUCGAGCUCUCUUUGCAAAUCUCUCUCACCACUUUCUCGUCCUCUAAUCUAACGGCGUCUCUUCUGUGCACGCGUGUACAAAAUGCACAAACGACUCACAGUAUAACAAAAGCGGCCCGCACACAUUGAUGAACAGAAUUACCAACUGGACCAUACUAGGCCAGACAAAACUGUAGAUUAAUUACUCGGCCUUUUUUUGACACCCCGGGCUGUUUGCUUCCAGGAAAAAAUAUCUAGAAAAAUUUAGAGGAAAGAAGUUUUUACAUGAAAAAUUCUUAUUUAAGUUUUCCGCUCGUUUGUUUUCAAGAUAUAUUAGAAUUUUUUUUUAUUUUUUUCUUAAGUUCAUGAAAAACUAGUAUUUUUAUUUUUUAAAUUUUUUUUAGAAAACGAUAAUACUAGUUNUUUUUUUUUUUUUUUUUUUUUUUUUUUUUUUGUAAAAUCUGGAAUAAUAGAGUUUUCUGAUAAAACUGGUUUCUUUGGGACUGAAUGGAGAAACUAGUAAUGUGUGUUAAUUAGUGACACAUUUAUUUUGUAUUAGUGCUAGAGGCCUGAGCCUAGAGGUGGCCUCACACAGUACUUAUUCAAGUUCCCGCUGUGUCAUCCUGACCCAAAUGUUCCUGAACCAUGGUCCAGCCCCACUAGUUUGGACCGCACGUACAUUAUCAGGCCACGGUCCGAUCCUAUUUGCUUUUACAUUUUUUAAUAUAUUUUUAAACUUUCAUUUUUAAGAUUAUAUUGUUUAAGUUUUUAAUAUAUUGAUAUAGUUAUUCAUUCAAUAAGUAGGGAUUUUAUAACUUUUUAAUAUCACUAGUCAAAAUUUAAAUAGUUUCAAUUAUGUCUGAGAGAUAAAAAAAAUAAUUACAAAUACUAAAAGAAAAUAAAACAAAAUAGAAAUUUACGAUAACAUAGCUAACACCGGCGAAAUUAUGUCGAUUGCUCAGACAUAAUAAAACAUUUUUUUUUAAGAGAUAAGUAGCAUGCUACUCGCUUUAUUUAUUUCAUUUAGAAAUAAAUUUAGCUAGAAAUAUGAAUCAACUAGGAUUCGAACUUAGAUAAUGUAGCUUAUUAUUUGGAGCUGUUUUUUUUCCCCUUGUUUUCACUAGUAUAGCUUGCCUAUAUUAUAGAGGUCACGUUGUUUGUUUGGUUUUUUUUUUUUUUUUGAGAGAGAGAUAUAAGUAGCAUACUAUCCGCUUCAUUUAUUUCAUUUAGAAAAUAAACUUAGCUAGAAAUAUGAAUCAACUAAGAUUCGAACUCGAGACCUCAGAUACCAACUAUUAAGUAUUUUGCCACUUGCGCUAGAAACGGUCGGUAUAGAGGUCACAUUGUUAUCUACUUGGUUUUGGUGAAUAGGGAUGAUUAAGAAUACGAUCAAAUUAACAUCUUGGGCAAAAAUUAAUUAAUCUAAAAUGCUUAAUUAUAUAGUUUAUUGCGCCUAUAUUAAUCUUGACAUUUGUUACAACACCAUUAUCUUUCCAAUCAACGCUCUGAGCUAGGUACCGCGGACAUGUUAACAUCCUCAAAUUAACGUCAUUUAUAGAGUCUGAUCUAAUAUUUCGUGGGAUAUAUAAUUAAACCAGUGUGUUGAGCUACAAACUCAACGUUUGCUUUAUAAGCAAAUUGAUUAAUGCCAAGAGUAUAGGAAUUUCUAGAUAGGCAUCGAUAUGGUCGACAUUGUUCUUAAUUAAAGAUCUAAAACCGGUGCAAUUUUUCAUCUUCGUCAUUGCAAAACUACUCAAUCUGACUCGACCAUCCAUUCUUCGAACUUCCUCGGAAUCAUCGGGUUCGCCAUGGAAGGCUGCCAACGGCGAAGCCCACAUCACACAAACAAACUGGAAAAGAAACAAAGCUAACUUGGAAUAAAUGUGGAAGUCAUAUACAUGGCACUAAUUAAAAAGCAGCUAUAUUUAGAAAGGCAUUUGUUGGUGCGGAACAAGGUCCUACCAUCGAGUUUAAGUAUCGUUGACUGAUUCAAAUUAAAUAAAUUGAAAGAUUGAAUAGUAAAUUAGAAUUUUGAAAGAUUAGAUAGCUGAUUCAAGGUGAUCAAUAAUUCAGAGAUAAGCUGCAUACUUUUUUACCGACAAAGAAAUAAAUCCUAACCCUAAAUGCGCGCGCACGUGCACAGUUUUCCUGUAAUAAGCACUAGUUCGUACUCGAUCGGGGUAAUUAAGCAACACACUUUUAAUACUCGAUCAUAUUCUUAUCAAGUCAUAGUAGAAUACACGUACGUCACAACACACGAACGAAUUGAUAUAUAAUAUCAUAAACAUUCAAACAACAUCCAAUACAGAGGACACUCGAUCGUGAGGGCGAGAAUCGCUCAAAUUGGAAGACACGUACGAGGAAUUAACACGAACCAUUUAAGCACGCAGAAUCCAAACAAGUUAACUCAAUCUCCACGCGCACGUCGACGUUAUUUAGUAGCUAUACGAGUUUAUAGUGUCGCGAACGGAUCGAUCGAUCACUUCAUCAAAGCCGAAUUAUAUAUGCAUACAUAGCUAGCUUUGAUCUGAAUUAUAUAGCGCUUAUGCCAUCAGAUCCCACGUCGGCGAGCUCGAGAGGAGUCGAGUUGAUAAUCGGGAUGACCGGCUGCUGGGCAAUACCACAUAAUCCUUCAACUGAAGAGACAUCUCUUUCCAAACGCCCGAACCCAUUUUCGCCCCAGUUUUUUCCCCACGAGUUCUUCAGUAUCCAAUACUUCUCUCCGGUAUUACUGUCCUCGCCAUAACCUAUGAUGGCGACGACAUGGUUGACUGCAGUUCCGCAAGGUCCCUUAAAGAUGCCACCGCCGACGUAAAGCUGGAAGUCCCUGGUGGCUUCGAGAUAGGAAGCUACCGGUUGCUUCGACACGGCAACCUUAAGACUGGUUUCGUUGUUUCUAGGCAGAUGUUGAUAAGCGUCGAUGUAAGCCGCAUUCGGCACGAUGUUGGACUCACAAUUGCGUUGAACUCCUGUAUAGGGAUAGGAAGACUCGGUUGCCACACCUCCAUUCCGUAUGAUGAAUUUGUAGGCUUGGUGCGCCCAGCCUCCACCUAUGCACCCGCUGCCAACGCUGCAAUCCAUAACCUCCUGUUCUGAUAGGGAUAUCAGUGCUCCUUUUUUGAUCUUGUAGAUUCCUUCCACCGUCGCAAUCGCAGCGAACGCCCAGCAAGUUUCUAUUCAAAAUUAAGGUUCACUUUAGCAUUUGCAAGAGAAAUUAAUUAUGUCCGUUAUUAAUUAAUUAAUUAAUUACGACAAAAGAAAGUAUAUACGCCACUUAUUAAGACAUAAUAAUAAUAAUAAUUAUGUAAUAACAUUUAAAUCUAUAUAAGAGAACCGUAUUAUUAUUAUCAUUAAAUUAUUAUUGUUGGGUACAAAUAGCGGUAAUAACUAAUAACUUUUUUUUUGUUAUUAGUACGCAUGCAGCACAAUAAAAUAAUAUGUAUUAUAAUAUAUAAUAUGUUAAAAUAUAAUAUCUUUUAUUAUAUUUAUAUAUUUACAUAGAGCUAGGCACCAAUACUAUCUAUAAUAGCAGGCUCCAGUACUAUAGUCUUGUCUUCAAUCUUACAAUAUUCAAAUUAAUGAUUCAUCCCGUUAAAACCUGGUCCAGCGUAUUUGAAGUUUUUAAAAGUAAAAUUUUAUAUUUUUUCGAUAUAGUUUACUUUAUGAUCAAAUCAUUUGAUAGAAAAUAUUUUAAACUAUCUAUAUCAAUAUCAACAUCCUUAAUCUUGAAUUUAAAAAUUCUAUCCUCAAAUUUUAAAGUUUAUUCAAUUUCAACCGUUCAUUUUGAUAUGCUUUACUUACUAAGUAAACAAUGUCGAAAAAAAUUAAAAUUUUAUUUUUUAGAACUUCAUAAAUUCUAGAUUAUAUAUAACAGUGUGGAUCAUUGAUUUGAACAUUUUAAGAUCGAAAAUAAGAUUAUAAUACUAGAGUAUCGACACUAUAUAUAGUAUAAUAGCCUAAUUCCGUUUAUAUAUAGGUAUUAUUGGGGGACGGUUUAUAAUUAUCAAGUUUCACUAUCUCACAUUCUCAUCCCAUAUCUGAUAUGAUUAUAUGAUAUAAUGCCCGCACACUGUUGGUGGGCUUAAGACAUAAACUUUCAAUUUAAAUGUGAAAAAAUUAUUUAUCUAAGGCAGAUGGAAUGGUAGACCGAGCACAUUUGUUCUAGUGUACGUUAACAUUUAUUGUUUCCGAAAACAAAGAAUAUUUUGGUACAAGAUAAAACAAUUGUAAAUAUGUAUUUGGAUACAUUCGAAGAUAUUUUAGAAGAUAUUCUUCGUAGCGUUUAGAUAAAAAAUCUAGAACAAUAUUUAAAUAUAUUUUUAAAAAUAAAAUAAUUAAUUUAUAUUAGUAUAUUUUAUAUAAAAUUAUUUCAUAUAGUAAUUUAUAAUAUAAUAUUUUAUGUAAUAAUUUAAUUUAAAAUAGCAUAUUUAUGUUAAUAUAUAUAAUAAUUUAUUUUCUAUAAUAAUUUAUUUUAUAUAAUUUAUUUAUAAUAUAUGUAAGGAAUAAAGUAUAAUACUAACAAUAUCCUUAUAAUUUUAAUUAAUAAUAUUAUAAAUUUUAAUACAAAUUAAAAAUAUUUGUAAUAUAUGAAAAAUGAUUUUAUAUAUAAAAUACUUAAUAUUAAAUAAAAUAAUUAAAUAUUAAUAAAUAAAUAAUAAAACUUAAUAAAAUAAAUAAUAUAUCAAAUUUAAUUAAUUUAUAUUAUAUAAUAAAAUUUAAGUAUAAAUAUAUUAUCAUAAAAAUAUUAAUAUAUUUAUNAUAUAUAUAUAUAAAGAGAAGAACAAAGUUGUGUUUAGUUUUCCUUCGAACCAUUUUUAACGGAUUGUUCCAGAAUAACCUGCUUUUAGCGGAACAACCCAUUCUCUUUAGUUCUUCCAUCGGUUGGUUAUAAAUUGGAGGAUAUACCGUCUUGUUCCAGAAUAUCUCCGAUACCAAAUACAGCCUAGAGGAAUAGUAAUGUAUUUCCUAUUCAAACUUUGGUUCCUAGGAGGAGAACUUUGUGGAAAAAAUGGAUUACUAUAAAAGGUACUAUGAAACUUUUUGAAAGAUUCAAGACAUGAAAAUUAAUUUUAAAAAAUGGAAUAAUGAGGUUAGAAGACUAUUGGAAUUUUAACUUAGGGCGUCCUAAACUGCUAAGUAGAUUAAAUUCUGAUGGCAUACCAUGUUAGACCGUCAAUUAAUUGAUUAUUUCUAAUAACUUAGGCUUUUAUUGAUAAUUAGUUGUUUUACAAAAUUAAGCUGAUUUAAUUACUAUAUUAUAGUCAACACUUCUUACCGCAUGUGCCUUGUUGUUUGACUUCUGUCACUGCAUCAUAGUCCCUCCAAUCUAUACUAUCGGGCACUGCGGACAUGUUUACAUCCUCAAAGGACGUCAAGGGCGCCUCUUGCUUCACGUUUAGGGGGAUAGAAGCACUGGUGUACUUACUCAGAAAUUCAUCAAAUGUCAUAUCAGCAAAUUGGUUGGUGCCGAGAGUGUACGAGUUUCCGCUCCGAUUAUUGAAGGUUUCAAUAUAGUUCACGUUAUCCUGAAAUAUCUGAAACCGCCGCCACUUCUCCGCAUCAUCUGCAUAAACACGGCCGAACCGAGCCAUCCAUUCUUCGAACCUCUGCAUCAUGGGAUGACUAGGAGAAGUUGCCCGGGGCGAAGCCCACAUCAGAGAAACAACCAUGUAAAAAAACAAGAGUAGAUAUUUGGAACCCAUGUGUAGCAGUACUAAUAAUAGCAGCUGCACUUGGAAGGGAGACUAUUUAUAUGAUCUAGCUUUCGUUGUGAGGAUGAGCUUCUCGCAUCGAGCUUAUAUAUAUAUAUAUAUAUACACUCAUAUAUAUAGAAGUGCGCGAUUGCUACAUGGAGUAUUAGUGGGAGAUAGAUGUGGACCAUUAUCGAAGGAAAAUAAUUGCCUUUCCUGUUUAAUAAUUAGUUGAGGGAUCCAACACUAGCUUGAUAGGUAAUUAGAAUUAGAUAGGUACAUUAAUUCAUAUCCGUUUUUAUUAACGUAAAGCUAUAUAUAGAUCCAUGGUUCGUACCCUCAAAUCAAUCUUUAAAAAUAAGGAUUGAACCCAGUUCUUAAAUUAUUGUCUAAUUCUAGACUUAUUAGAUAGCAUUCUAUUUUGAAGGAUCAAUUUCUUGUAUACUCCUGUAAGGACUGAGCCCUUGAUGAUUAAUAUCUAAGGUCUCAAAUUCGAACUUUAGUUAUUUUAUAUUUCUAGCAGAGUACAUUUCUAUAAAGCUAAACGAAGCUGAUAACUUGUUACCAUUCACUUUCUCAAAAAAAAAAAAAAAAAAGAAGAGAAAACUAAAAGGUUACUAAUAAGAUAAUAGCAGUAAUAAUAGUACAAGGAAAUGUAUAGAGUUCCUCUUGAUCAAUUAUUAGCUAUGACAAAUGAAUGAUUGGAUCAUUGAGGAAAAAAAAAANAUAUAUAUAUAUAUAUAUAUAUAUAUAUAUAUAUAAUGAAAACUCUAUUCAAACAUAUAUUUUUGGGAUGUAUGAUAUACACCUAUUCUUUCUAAGGUGCUAGUAGAAUCCAUUCCAUCUUUAAAAUGGAUGGGUGUAUAUCAUACAUCCUAAAUAGGGAUGUAUGUUUAGUAUUACUCUUUUGAAAUAUUUCUAGCCCCAUCAAUUGAGUUUACAUAUUUUAACUUUUAAGUUGAGUUAUCAUUUUAGCAAAAUAUUUUAAGAAUUUUCAGAAUUUUUCAAUAUUUCCAUGAAAUUUUAUAAUCUCAAUUACUUUUUAAAAUUAGUAUAAUUAAUUGCUAUAUAUCUGAUAGAGUGCUUUUUUAAAUUAAAUUCAUUUUUUUAGUUAAAUAACUAGGAAUUUUUAAAGUGAAAAUAUAAGAUGGCAAUUUUAAAAUGUCUUAUAUACAUUUGAGGAGGCCUCCGUUCAUCCAUUUAGUGGGUAGGCCUCCGUGCAUUUUUCUCAUUUAAUGAAAAUUUGAACUGAAAUUAUACUUAGAUAUUCUUGCCAUAACAACAUUCUAAAAAAAAAGAAAAUGUAUUUUGAUAUAGUUCCGACACAGACUUUGAAAAAAUAAAAAAAUUGACAAUUUUAUUGGUAGAUGUGAUGCGUUUGUAAAUUUAACGGUAUAAAAUAAUUCAAAUCUGAUGAAAUUUUUAUAGAAAAUUUUUUUCACUAUUUAGAGUAAGAUCAAUACCUCUAAUCUUAAAUUCAAAUCUUUUGUCAUCAUUUUUUAUGAGAUUUUUAUUUUCAAUCAUUAACUUUUAGACUACUCAUUUGAUAGGUAAUGAUGCCAAAAAAUUAUGAAAUUUAGCUUCAAAAUACUUUAAAUAAUGUAGAUCAACUCGAGCAGAGCCGAUCGUUGAUUUGGAAGCCGCACCAUUAAAAAUAACUUGGUAGCACGGAGGUCUCCAUGCUACCGAUAGUAUACCAGCCUUGCUUUCUUUCUCUCUCUAUAUAUAUAUAUAUAGAGAGAGAGAGAGAGUCCAGUUGUGAUACUAUCGAUAGCACCAAGGACUUAGUGCUAUUGAGUUUUCUACCGUUAAAUUUAACCGUUUGGUUAUUUUUACUCAUUAGAUUAUACUAUUCAAUCAACCACCCACUCAACUCUAGGGGACCCACAUCAUCCUAACCGCAUAUUUCUCAAUCCAAUGGCUAAAAAACUAAUAACACCAAUAACUUUGUGCUAUUGAUAGUGUUCCAGCCUAAUUUUAUCAAUAACAUUAAAUUAUUGGUGUUAUUAAAUUUUCAGUUAUUGAAUGAAAAAAAUAUACGGUUAUGAUGAUGCGGGCUCCUCGAGAAUUGAGUGAGUAAUUAGUGAGUUGUUAGUUGAGUUAUUAGUUGAAUCGGUCAAACUGGAAGCCACGAGGAACACGAACCACUUAAGCACGCAGAAUACAUAACGCACACAUCCAAACAAGUUAACUCGAUCUCCACGCACACGUCGACGUUAUUUAGUAGCUGUCGAGUUUAUCGUGUCGCGAGCAGAUCGAUCGAUCACUUCAUAUAUAGCUGAAUUAUACAUCGCUUCGAUCUGAAUUAUACAGCGCUUAUGCCAUCAGAUCCCACGUCGGAGAGUUCGAGAGGAGUCGAGUUGAUAAUCGGGAUGAGCGGCCACUCGGCAAUACCACAUAAUCCUUCAACUGCAGCGACAUCUCUUUCCAAACGCCCGAACCCCUUUUCGCCCCAGUUUUUUCCCCACGAGUUCUUCAGUAUCCAAUAUUUAUCUCCGGUAUUACUGUCCUCGCCAUAACCUAUAAUGGUGACGGCAUGGUUGACUGCAGUUCCGCAGGGUCCCUUAAAGACGCCACCGUUGUAAAGCUGGAAGUCCUUGGUGGCUUCGACAGCGGAGGCUACCGGUUGCUUCGACACGGCAACCUUAAGACUGGCUUCGUUCUUUCUAGGCAGAAACUUGUAAGCGUCGAUUUCAGCUGCAUUCGGCACGAUGUUGGACUCGCAAUUGCCUAGAACUCCUGUAUAGGGAUAGGAAGACUCGGUUGUCACACCUCCAUUCCGUAUGAUGAAUUUGUAGGCUUGGUGCACCCAGCCUCCACCUUUGCACCCGCUGCUAACGCUGCAAUCCAGAACCUCCUGCUCUGAUAGGGAUAUCAGUGCUCCUUUUUUGAUCUUGUAGAUUCCUUCCACCGUCGCAAUCGCAGUGAACGCCCAGCAAGAUUCUAUUCGAAAGAAAAAUUUUACUAUAGCAUUUGCAAGAGAAAUAUAUAUAUAUAUAUGUCCGUUAUUAAUUAAUUAAGGCAAAAGAAAUUAUAUAUGUCAUUUAUUAAGACAUAAUUAUGUAAUAAUAUUUAAAUCUAUAAGAAACCCGUAUUAUUGUUAUCAUUAAAUUAUUAUUGUUGAGUACAAAUCGUACUAAUAAAUAAUAAUUUUUUUUUAUUGUUGUUGUUAUUAGUACUUAGCACAAUAAAAUAAUUUGUAUUAAAAUAUAUAAUAUGUUAAAAUAUAUUAUCUUUUAUUAUAUUUAUACAUUUAUAUAGAGCUAAGCUCCUAUACUAUCUAUAAUACCAGUCUUUGAUACUAUAGUCUUGUUUUCAACUUUAAAAUAUUCGAAUUAAUGAUUCAUGCCGUUAAAAACUGAUUUAGGGUAUUUGAAGUUUUUGAAAUAAAAUUUUAUAUUUUUUCGAUGGAUUGCUUAUGAUCAAAUCAUUUAAAAAUUAUCAAUUUUCAAUGACUAGUAUGGUGAGUUUGUAAUAUAUAUAACGGUAUAAAAAAUUCUAAAUUUAUUCAUAUUUUUAUAAAAAAAAUAUUUUAAACUAUUUAGAUCAAGAUCAACAUACUUAAUCUUGAAUUUAAAAGUUCUAUCCUCAAAUUUUAAAAUUUGUUCAAUUUUAACUGUUCAUUUUAAUAUGAUUUACUUACUAAGUAAAUAAUGUCAAAAAAAGUUAAAAUUUUAUUUUUAAGAAUUUUAUAUAUUCUAAAUCAUAUGUUACGUUGUGGAUUAUUGAUUUGAACAUCUUAAGAUCGAAAAUAAAACUAUAAUACCGGAAGCAUCGAUACUAUAUAUAGUAUAAUAGCCUAAUUUCGUUUAUAUAUAUAUAUAUAUAUAUAUAUACUAUUGGGGACGGUUUAUAAUUAUCACAUUUGACGGUCUCACCCCAUAUCUGAUAUGAAGACACAUGAUAUAUGAUAUAAUGCCCGCACACUGUUGUUGGGCUUAAGACAUAAACUUUCAAUUUAAAUGUGAAAAAAUUAUUUAUCUAAGGCAGAUGGAAUGGUAGGCCGAGCACAUUUUGUUCUUGUGUUAACAAGGGCUGCGUUUGGUUGAAAAACUAAAUUUUGUAAAACAACUUUUGUUAUUCCCGAGAACAAAAAAUAUUUCGGUAAAAGAUAGAAUCAUUGUAAAUUUGUGUUUGGAUACAUUUGGAGAUAUUUUAAAAAAUAUUCUUACUAGCGUUUGAAUAAAAAGUCUAGAAUAAUAUUUAAAUAUAUUUUUAAAAAUAAAAUAAUUAAUUUAUAUUAGUAUAUUUUAUAUAAAACUAUUUCAUAUAUUAAUUUAUAAUAUAAUAUUUUAUGUAAUAAUUUAAUUUAAAAUAGCAUAUUUAUUUUAAUAUAUAUAAUAAUUUAUUUUAUAUAAUUUAUUCAUAAUAUAUGUUAUGAAUAAAGUAUAAUACUAAUAAUAUCCUUAUAAUUUUAAUUACUAAUAUCAUAAAUUUCAAUACAAAUUAAUAAAUAUAUAUCAUGUAUGAAAAAUUGAUUAUAUAUACAAUACUUAAUAUUAAAUAAAAUAACAAAAUAUUAAUAUAUAAACGAUAAAACAAAAUAAAAUAAAUAAUAUAUCAAAUUUAAUUAAUUUAUAUUAUAUAAUAAAAUUUAGGUAUAAAUAUAUCAUCAUAAACAUAAUAUUUAUAUUAAUAUAUUUAUUUAUAUAUCUAUUUAUCUAAUAAAAUAAAAAGAAGAACAAAUUUAUUCUUAGUUUCCCUUCGAACAAUUUUUAACAAGUUGUCCCAGAACAAUCCGUUUUGAUCGGAACAACCCCUUUUUUUCAUCUUUCACCAUUUGGUUACAAAUUAGGAAUAUGCCGUUUUAUUCCAGAAAAUCUCCAGUGCAAACGCAGCCUAGCUAGAGGAAUAGUAAUAAAUUUCCUAUUCAAACUUUGGUUCCUACGAGAGAGAUCUUUGUGAAAAAAAUGGAUUACUAUAAAAGGUACUAAUAAAAUGUUACUUUAAAUACCAUACUUUCUAAACUUUCUUCUAUUUAGGCUCGAAAUUUAUUUGACACAUCCAAGACACAAAAAUUAAUAAAAUGAAAGAGAAUUAAAUGAGGUUAAUUAGAAGCCUACUGGAAUUUUAACUCAGGGCCUCCUAAACUGCUAAUUAAGUAGAUUUAGUACUCAUGGCGUACAUGUUAGACAGUUAAUUAAUUGAUUAUUUCUAAAAACUUAGGCUUUUAUUGAUAAUUAGUUGUUUUACAAAAUUAAGCUGCUUUAAUUAAUAUAUUAUAGUCAACACUGCUUACCGCAUGUGCCUUGUUGUUUGACUUCUGUCACAGCAUCAAAGUCCCUCCAAUCUAUACUGUCGGGCACCGCGGACACGUUUACAUCCUCAAAGGACGUCAAGGGCGCCUCUUGCUUCAAGUCUAGGGGGAUAGAAGCACCGGUGUACUUACCCAGAAAUUCAUCAAAUGUCAUAUCAGCAAAUUGGUUAGUGCCGAGAGUGUACGAGUUUCCGCUUCGAUUAUUGAAGGUUUCGAUAUAGUUCACGUUAUCCUGAAAUAUCUGAAACCGCCGCCACUUCUCAGCAUCAUUUGUAUAAACACGACCGAACCGAGCCAUCCAUUCUUCGAACCUCUGCAUCAUGGGAUGACUAGGAGAAGCUGCCCGGGGCGAAGCCCACAUCAAAGAAACAACCAUGUAAAAGAACAAGAGAAGAUAUUUGGAACCCAUGUGUAGGAGAAGCUGCACUUGGAAUGGAGACUAUAUGAUCUAAUGAGGAUACGCUUCUCGUAUCGAGCUUAUACAUAUAUAUAGAAGUGCGUGAUUGCUACAUGGAGUAUUAAUUAGUGGGAGAUCGAUGCUGUGGAACAUUAUUGAAGGAAAAUAAUCGCCUUUCCUCUCUAAUAAUUAGUUUGAGGGAUCCAACGCUAGCUAGAUAUAGGUAAUUUAGAAUUAGAUAGGUACAUUCAUAUCCUUUUAUUAUCGUAAAAGCUAUAUCUAGAUCGAUGGUUCGUACCCUCAAAUCAAUCUUUAAAAAUAAGGAUUGCACCCAAUUCUUAAAUUAUUGUCUAAUUCUAGACUUAUUAGACAGCAUUAUAUUUUGAAGGAUCAAUUUCUUUAUAUACUCCUGUAAUGACUGAGCCCUUGAUGAUUAAUAUCUAAGAUCUCAAAUUCGAACUUUAGUUAUUUUAUAUUUCUCGCAGAGUUCAUUUCUAUAAAACAAAACGAAACUCAUAGCUUCCGACCCUUCUCUUUCUCAUAAACAAAAAAAAAAAGAAAAACAAAAAAAAAAACCUAAAAUGCUACAGAUAAAUAGUCGCAGUAAUAAUAGUACAAAGAAAUGUGAGAGUCUCUUGAUCAAUUAUGGCUAAUGACAAAUGAAAGAUUGGAUCAUUGAGGGAAAAAAUAUAUUGAAUCCCCUCCAUCAAUUAUAGACCAUUGCUCUUUGAUAAUAUAUAUAUAUAUAUAUAUAUAUAUAUAUAUAUAUAUAUAUAUAUAUAUAUAUAUAUAAUAAAAACUCUAUUCAUACAUUUUUUUUUAGGGUGUAUGAUGUACACCUACCCUUUCUAGGAUGCUAGUAGAAUCCAUCCCAUCUUAGAAUGGGUGGAUGUAUAUCAUACAUCCACACUUAGAAUAGGUGCGUGUAUAUCAUACAUGCUAAAUAGGGAUGUAUAUUUAGUAGGGAAAAUUUCAUAGAUGCCCCUGUAGGAGACCGAAAUUUCAUCAAUAGCCCUCUAAAAUUCAAAAUAUCAUGAAUGCCCUUCUAAAUUUAAAAAAUAUUCAUGAAUACCCCUACAGGUUAUGUACCGUUAGAAUCUAACGGAAUAAGGUGUAAAUACCAUUUCUGCCCUUGCACUGCUCCUUAACUAUAGGGAUAAUAUCACAGAUGCCCUUCUAGAAAUAGUUAAUUUCAUUAAUACCUAUCAAAAAUUGAUAAUAACACGAAUACUCUCCAACAUAUUAAAAAUUAUCACAAAUGCCCUCCACUAGUUAAUAUCCGUUAAAAUCAUUAAAUUUUUAAAAUAUCAUUUUUACCCUUUAUCUCUUAUCAAUAAUAGAAACACUAAUAGGUAUUUCAAGAUAAUUUUUAUAAAUCUAAAUUUGACUAUUUAAUAUAUAAAUAUUAAAUUAAUUUUUAAAUGAUAUAUAAAAAUUGUAUUUUAUAUAUAGUAUGUUUUUAUAUGGUUUUGGUUUUGUUUUUGGCUUCGAGUUUUGGUUCAAAUUCGAUUUGGAUAUAGACCAAAAUCAUAACUAAAUUUAAAUACGAUGAGAGUUCAUUUUUUUGUACUUAUAAUUGAAACUAUCCCGCUCAGCAUCGAUUAAGCUCAUCUCAUUCAAAAUUGAGUUCACAUAAAAUUGUAUACCUAUAUCAUUUCACAUUCCUAAUCAGUAAUAGUAAUUUGAAAUAAAUUAUAGAUUUUAUGUUUUUCCUAUUUAAUCAAAAAUAAAUUACAUAACUAUAUCAAUAUGCAUGCUUUUUUUAUUGAUUUUUUUAAAAAAAGAGAAUUUUGUUCAAAAGCUUAAAUAUAUUAUAUUUCAGUUUUUAAUGCAUUUAAUGCAGAUAAAAUUAUUGAGAAUAAUUUAAGCUUCCAAAAUUAAAGAAAGAUCGAAAAAUCCUCAACAUUUACUUUUAUUUAAUUUUUUAUACAUAGUUAAAAUAAAUGGAGCCACUAGAUUUGGUGAAAUCAUAAAAACCUUGAUAAAAUUUUUAUUUUUCAUACACUAAAAUUAGUUAAUUUUUUAAAAAACCAAAAGUUAAUGGGAUGUUAACUUAAAAAAAUAAAAGUUGAGGGAGCCAUUGAGGGGCUCUCCAUACAUUUUUAUUAAAGAGAUAGGUGAGGGUAAAUAGGUCAUUUUAAAAGUUAACCCAUCUUUAACCAUUAAACAACUAUGGUAAAGGUAAUAUAACUAACUGUAGGGGUAUGGGUGAUACUUUUUUAUAUUUAUAGGGGCAUAUAUGAUAUUUUAAACUUUAUAGUGGCAUCCAUGAUAUUUUCAGCUUUAGGAGGGUUAUCUAUGAAAUUGCCCCUAUUUAGUAUUACUCUUUUGAAAUAUUUCUAGCCCCAUCAAUUGAGUUUACAUACUUUAAUUUUAAGUUGAGUUAUCGUUUUAGUAAAAUAUUAAUUGUAAGAAUUUUCAGAAUUUUUAAAUAGUUCCAUCAAAUUUAUAAUCUCAAUUACUUUUUAAAAUUAGUAUAAUUAAUUGCUACAUAUCUGAUAGAGUGCUUGUUUAAAUUAGAUUCAUUUUUUUACUUAAAUAACUAGGAAUUUUUAAAGUGAAAAAUAUAAGUUGGCAAUUUUAAAAUGUCUUAUAUACAUUUGAGGAGGCCUCCGUUCAUCCAUUUAGUGGGUAGGCCUCCGUGCAUUUUUCUCAUUUAAUGAAAAUUUGAACUGAAAUUAUACUUAGAUAUUCUUGCGAUAACAACAUUCUAAAAAAAAAAUGUAUUUUGAUAUAGAUCUGAUACAGACUUUGGAAAAAAAAAAAAAAAAAAAGGUUCUUUGAUAUACUUAUCAUAUCAAUAUUCCUAAACAAUAAAUAAAUAAAUAAAGAUAUAGGUCCGAUAACAUAUUUGCUUACCUUUUUUUGUUACUGAAAAAUUUUCUGUUGGUCUUUGCAUUCAGAGAAAAAAAUGCUUAGUGUAUGUAUAUAUAUACACUAGAGUUAUUAUGUAUCCAGAAAAAUAAAGAUCUAGAAUUUGGUAAUUUUAAUUUUUUUGCCCUUAGAUCAAGAAUUAUAGAGUUGGGAUUAUAGUGGUCCCACCCUAAGAUUUAAUGGUCUCCUUAGCGGAAUAAUAUUAAUUCAAGAGUUAGAAAUGGUCAAAAUUUUGAUUAAAGAUUAAAAAUUGAAACCACCAAAUUAAUGAGUCCAUUCUCCCAACCCUUUAAAUUGUUAUGAUUGUGUCCUUAACCUCUUACACAAUUUUCAAUUGAGUACUUUCGCUCUCAAUUGUUGCAAUUAGAUCCUUAACUUGUUUCAUUAGUAUAUAUACAUGGUAUGAUUCAUGCAGUCGAAGUACUUGUUAAAAAAUAGGUCUUAUAAACGCUUAAAAUGUAGUGGAGAGGCAGGUUUAAAUUAUAUCUAGAUUUAACAUUUCAUUUAAAAUCAAAUCUGAAACUCAUAAUAGUUCAUAACAUGUCGUCACAAACUUUUAGCAGGUCCAAGACAAGAACUAAGUUAAAAUGGGUGGAAUUUUGAUUCUUUUUCUCCAAAUAACACAACAAUUUUUUGUGUAAAAGCGUCCGCCGCUCCAUAUAUAGCAUAUCUCAUCGGAAAAAAAAAAACAUUUUUAAAUUUCUUUUUUGUAUGCAUAUAUAGUAUAAGAUGAUAAGUAUUUUAAUUUUUGAUGAAUACGUACAAUUUUUUAAAAUAAUAUAAAUAAGUUAUAUAUGGUGAAUAAUUUAUUUUUAAAAAAUAUAUGAACUAUUAAUAAAAUAUAUUAACUUUUAUUCAUUUGAAAAAUAUAAUAAUAUUUUAGCAAAAUUAAUAUUUUAUAUAUAAAAAAAUAUAUUAUAUUAUAUUAAUAAUAUUAUAUUUUAUUAUAAGCGGUGUCUUGCUAUACCGCAUCCGUAUCUUACUUUCCAAAAACUGCUAAGUCAUCGUGUCCGAACUGUGUCGUAUUUCGUAUUUUGUGUCCGUGUUUCGUGUAUGUACCGGUGAUGCCUAACUAGCUAGCUAGCUAGCUAGAGAAAAUUGUCGAGCUUUAAUCAUCUAUAUAUAUAUAUAUAUAUAUAUAUAUAUAUAUAUAUAUAUAUAUAUAUAUAUAUAUAUAUAUAUAUAUAUAUAUAUAUAUAUCACACACGUAGUUCAUCACAGUAGUAAUAAGCAGCACACUUUUAAUUACUACUUGAUAUUCUUACUAGCUAGUCAAAGCAGAAUACACAUCGAUCACAACAUACAUAUACAAAUGGCUUGAUCAUAAUACGAUAAUUAUUCAAACUUGCGAAGGAACGCGACAAGGUGAGGAUCACUUGAUCAAAUUGGUAAUAAACGACGAGGAACUCGAAGCACCUCCUUAAUUAUUUGUUAUAUAUUGGUAGGGAACGAUCGCUUCAUAUAUAUAUAUAGCUAAAUCGCAGCUUCAACCUUAUGCAGAGCUUCUUAGGCUAUCAGAUCCAACAACGGCGCCGGCGAGUUCCGUAGGAGCAGUUGAUGUGAUAGUUGGGUAAACUAGCUGCUUGGUAAGACCGCAUAAUCCAGAUUUGGAAGCGACAUCUUUUUCCAAUCUCAUGAAGCCAUUUUCUCCCCAGUUUGUACCCCAUGAAUUCUUUAUUAUCCAAUACUUAUCUCCAGUACUGUUGUCCGCUCCAUAACCUAUGACAGUGAUGGCAUGGUUAAUCAUAACUCCGCAAGGUCCUUUAUAGAUACCGCCGGU